rnacentral:lncRNA from 1 species
GGAGAGUGGUUACAAAAUUGGUGAACUAGAGAACCUCAGGGACCUUCGUCACCUGUGUAUUAGGGAACUUGAAAAUGUGAGGACUUCUCAAGAAGCCAUUGAGGCCAAGUUGAAUCAGAAAAAAUAUCUCAAAUCAUUGUCAUUGCAAUGGUCCGCAGGCCGCUUCAAUAGUGCAGAGGCAGAUGAACAGCUCCUCGAUAACCUCUGCCCUCAUAUCAAUCUCAAGAAAAUGUGCAUCGAACAAUACCAAGGUGCUAAAUCUCCAAGUUGGAUGACAAAUCUGUCUCUUGUCAAUUUGACAUCCAUCAAACUGAUUGAUUGUAAAGGAUGGAAGCACCUUCCACCUCUUGGGCAGUUUACUUCGCUGCAAUCUCUACACUUGAGGGGACUGCAUGCAAUAAAGCAAAUAGAUUGUUCAUUCAUCAGAAGCAGCAGUGCAUGUGACUUUCAAUCGUUGAAGUUCUUACAGUUACGAGACAUGCCUAACUUGGACGAGUGGAUUGGAGUAGAUGAUGGGUGCAUGUUUCCUCAACUUCUUUCUAUGAAUAUUAUUGACUGCCCUAAUUUGAGGGAAAUUCCUACUCUGCCGUAUAGUCUAAGUCGAUUGCAAAUUUCAAAUGUCGGAUUGACUGCUCUUCCAACAAUAAAUCAGAAUUACACGGAAAACAAUGUAAGUGCUUUAUUUUAUAAACUUCAAAUUUCUCCUGAGGUUUAGCUCAUUUUCAUUUACCCCCCCUGUAGUUCAAAAUGUAUCACUUUGCCCCUUCCCCCCCUGUGUUUUUGCCUAUUUUUUACUUUUGUCUAUCUCAUGGUUUGAAAAGUUACACUUUGCCUCCUUUGGUUUAGCUCAUUUUUUGCUUUGCUCUCCUGUGAUUUUUUUAAAAAAUAUUUUUAAUUUGCCUUCUAUUUCAUAUAGAAUUUUUUUGAUGAAAUAAAAAUUAAGCCACUGGACGGCAAAGUAAAACUUUUUGAACCGCAAGGUGGCAAGGUGAAAAUGAGUUUAAUUAACCACACGGGGUGCAAUUUGAAGUUGAGCAAUGCUUCAAUACUUUGUUGUAAUCUUAGCCGUUUAUUUUUAAUCAAUGAAGGGUUAAGAUUUAUGCAUAAAAAAAGAUGACCUACUAUUGCACAAGAAGUACCGGUCACCAGGUAUGUGAUUUAGGGGUGUUUUUGGAAAAAAAAAAAAGAGCUAAUAUUAAAAAAUUAAAUAACUAAUAUUGGAAAGUUUUGCAUACUACCCUUAAAUCAUGGAGAGAAUAAAUUUUUAAUUAAAUUAUCCAUUUUUAAAGCCGAUUUUAAUAAUAAUUUAUGAUCGCAUUUGAGUCAUAAAUUUAGUAAUUUAUAAUUUAAAAUUAAUUUUCAAACAUCGAAACUUUAUGUUUAAAUAGUUAACAAAAUUUAUUUUUUAAGUAUAAUAUAAAUUAAAUCUAAAUUUAUAAUUUAAAUUUGAUCAAUAUUUUUGAAAUUUAAUGCUGUAUUUCAAUAUUGAAUUAACAGUUUCAACUUACUUUAAAAUGUAGAAAUCUUUUAUUUACAUAAAUAAUAAAAGUUUAUAAAUACACUAUAACUUAAAUUACAAUUUUAAAGAUAGUAACAUUAAUUUUUGAACUUUCAUGUUAGUUUAAUAUUGAAUUGAUAAUUUGAAUUGAAAUGUUUACUCGUUUAAAUAUAAAUUUUUCUUUCUAAAAUUUAAAUUUAAUUUAUACAAUUAUAAAUACAAAGUUUAAACUCAAGUUAAAUUUUAAAUUCGAAUUUAUAAAGAUUUAUCACUUAUGAAAUUAACCAUUAUCUAAGUUGGUAAGUAACAAAAUUAAAUUAGGAAAUGAAGAUUUGUUGGAUAUUAUCAAAUUUGGUAAUUAGAUAAUGCAUACUUUCAAAUAUUAUCUUUAUGAUUGAUUGGUAACAUGUUGAGCAGGUUACCAUUGUGUAAAAGUCAAUCUUAACCGCAAAAAUUGAAUGAUCGGAUUUAAAUUGGCCGGUGUAUAGAAGUAUUUCUGUAUAUUAAAACACCAAUUAAUUCGUAUUUGCACGGCUAUGAUUGCCCGGACUUAAAUAUGUUUUACAUCUCUUUUCUUUCUUGCAGCGGCAAGAACAGGAUCUUGAAUAUGUUCCAACAUGUGGCGAUCUUGACGUGCCAUUGCUGUGGUCAGCAGAUUUAACCUCUCUUACUGAGUUGAAAUUAUUCGAUUGUGCAAGGAUAGCAUCCCUUCCCCCAGCACAAGUGUGUGCACGAUGGACGAUGCUUUCCCGUCUAAUGAUAAAGAACUGCGAAGGACUGUCAUCAUUUGGCGGAAUACAAGCUCUUGUAUCCCUCAGUUAUUUAGAAAUCAAAGGGUGUGACAAGCUAAUUGAAGUUGCCCUGCUGCUGCAGCCUCCGUUCCCAAACGAUGUCCGCCAAAACAAGAAUGCAGCAAUGGACUGCUUUUUGAAGAAUGGCGAACUAUCAAUUGACCACCCCGCCCUCCUGCUCGUGGAGCCAUUGAGAAGUCUCUCCUCCAUCAACGUGUUGACUAUCUCUGAUGCUUCACAACUCACCAGCUUACCUGAGGAAUGGCUACUGCAAAAUCACGUUGCCCUCAAAACUUUACGCAUAUCGAAUGCAAUCUCCCUCCAGUCCCUACCCCAGAGCAUGACAAAACUGUGCUCCCUAGAGCAUUUGUAUGUAUAUAUUGCUAAGCUCAUCCGGUCACUUCCAGAUCUGCCUACUUCACUGUGUACUCUACUCAUCUAUGGGUGUCACCCCGUGUUGAAGGAGCGAUGCCAAGAGAAUAUAGGCCUUGAUUGGCCCAAGAUUGCCAACAUCCCUGAUGUGUGGAUUGAACAGGCAGUUGCAGAGCAACGAUGAUGCAUAUUGUACGUUUACUUUACCACCCUUCAUCUCGCCCCUGCUAUAUACUCUCUGCGAUUUACGCAAUUCGUUUCGAUUUUAAUGAGCUACAACAUCUCGUUCCAUCUUAAUCAACAACUGUUAUCUCAUUUGUUUCAGGAUUGAUUAAUUACCUUCUUUUCCCGAAUAAUGCAACAGCAGUCAGGUUCGACUUUAAUUAGCAUCCUCCAUUAGGAAUUUUUUAUAUUUUUAAUUUUUACCCUUAUACUUUAUGGUUUGGAUACAUAAUAAUGGAAUUAAUAUAGCGCCAAUUAAUUGCGCCCUGUGAUUAAUACAUGAUGUUACGCUCGCUGGACGGAUUGGUCUUGUAAAACAAGCAAUGUAAUGAAUAAUAUAACACUAGUGAAGAGGCUCGCGCUUUGCAGCGGAUAAAAACCGUAGUAGUAAUUAAUAAUAAUAAAAUAUUAAAUAUUUUUUUGUGUAUCUCACUUGGUACAUCUACCGAAAGUCUCUCACUGUAGGCGAUAAAUAUCAACCUGACAAUGAAGAAAGAGAGUAAAAUAACUCAUUCUAAAUAAAAUUAAAUAGGGGAGAUGAAGAGACGUAUGUUGAGAGAGAGAGAAUAAAAUGGAAGAGAUGAGAAGACGUAUGUUGAGAGAGAGAGAGUAAAAUGGUUCAUUCUAAAUAAAAAUUGAAUAGGAUAUAUGAAGAAACGUAUUUUGAGAGAGAGAGAGUAAAAUGUCUUAUUCUAAAUAAAAGUUAAAUAGGAGAGAUGAAGAUAGUAUGUUGAAAGAGAGAAUAAAAUGGUUCAUUCAAAAUAAAAAAAAUUUCAAAAUUAAGAGAUUAUGACACAUCAGCUUAAAACAUUGGGGAUUCAUAAAGAGUAAUAGAUAUGUUAAUUGCUAGUAUAUCGAUUGCUUUCUAGAGUUAAAAACUAUGACUAAUUGUCCAGUGAUGAGUUAGAACAUAUAAAAGAGACGCACGCGCGCGCGACAAAAGCUUUCCGAGUUAUUUUAAUUUCUUGGUGCAGGACUGCAGUAACGUGAUAACACUAGUCCUAUAUGUAUUUCACUCAAUUUGUUCAAGAAUAUAAAACGAGACUAGUAAAGUUUAACUGCUUAUGUUCUAUUUCGGUAGUGCGGGAACAUGUAUUGAUUAGGACUCCAUAUAUAUUGCCGCUGAAUCUAGUUUUGCUUAUCUGGGAUAAAACAUGAUUACAAUCAUUCUACGUAUUCUCUCUUCUUUUUAGUUUUCUGGUGCAUGGGUGAAAAAGGCUUGCAUUGUAGUCUAUCGACUUCAUUGUAGGAGCACAACAUGGCUAAAGCCUUGCCGCUUUUGUUCUUCUAUUUAAUUAGUACUGGACUCAUAUAUGACUCCCAAUUCAUGGUCAUGUUCUAUCAAUUUAUUCAUAAGAUUAUGAGAAAAUUAAAGACUAAUUUGUUACUUUAUGCUUGUGUUCUUCAGUUUUAUUGGUGCAGGAUCAGAGUAAGAUUCCUUGCUUCUUUCGUGUGCGUGCGUGUAUAGUAGCCAAACUAAUGUAAAAUCUUUAAGAAAUAAAUUGCCCUCUUUUGCAGCAGGGAGGUUAAAUGCUUCAAUUUUGUUUCUCCUUACUUUAUAUUCGUAUAUACCAAAGGUAAUUUUGUGUUUGAAUAUUCCUGUACAAAUAGGAAAAAUCUUAUAGCCUGGUCAUAGGCUUGUUUUGUCUUGUGUAUUAUCCGGUGAAGCUGUUAAACAUUGCUUUAAAAUGUGUUUCAAAUUAUUACUGGUAUUUUAGCAGUACAGCAAGCACCCAGAUUAAACUCGUGAACUCAAUCGCAGCAGUAUAAAUCACGCUUUUAAAUUUUGUUUAACUUUUUCUUAGUGUUUAGUGCAGGCUCUCAUGGUAGAUUCUCUCUGGAGAGAAUUCCGUCGACUCGCCAUAAGAGUAAAAUGAGGGCUAUGCUGCAGCAGGCAUCAACAUGCAACCACAUCCUGCAAUAUCUUAAAUUUACUUUCUUUACAUUUUUUAAACGAGCUUUAGAUUCAUUUUGCAUCGAUUGCACAAAACAACUGAAGCAUUACUGCGUAUGUUCUAUGUUCGGUGGUGCGAGAACGAAUUAAAGACUCUUAUCGAUUUCUCUGUAUAUAGGAAUGUAACAAGACCAAAGUAGACUACUGCCUAUGUAUUUGUAUUUUCUUUUUGUUCUCGGUGGUGUAUGAAUUAAAAACGCUCCUCUUAUUAUAGCCUAUCGAUUUCGUCCUUGCUACAAAGGAUGGUUAAAGUUGUACUGCUUUGUUUGCAUUCUCCAAUUUUUCUUGGUGAAGGAUCGGAAUGAGACUACUACAGGUAGUCUAUUUAUAUAUGCAUAAUGUGAUUAGUGUCUUUAAUGUAGCUUAAUUUUACUUGUUAUUUCGUUUUACUGGUAUCACGAAUAUUUGGGUGUAAAUACGGAUAAUUACAUUAUAUAUUUUGGAGAAUAAGAUUUGGAGAUGUAUUCUUAAUGAGAGCAAUGCUUCAAUACACCAUAAGUAUAAAAAUUAAGCUCUUAAUUAGUAAAGGGUAUAGUUGGAAUUUACAUAAAGUAACCUAUUGAAUAGGUUACCGAUUUGAAUUAAGUUAAUAUGACAAUAUUGAAAAAAAAUUAGAAGUAUAUACUAAAUUUGUCAGUAUUUUUUAUUUAGUUUUGUUACUUACCAAAUUAGAUAAUGCCCAAUUUGUUAAGUAUCCAACUCAAAAAAAUAUUGAAUAUAAAUUUAAGUUUUGAAGUUGGUAUUGUAAUGUAAAAUUUUAAUUUCAAAAUUUAUAUUAAACUUUUAAAUUUUGAACCUAAUUGAACUUUUAAUCUUAAAGCCAAACUUUAAUUUUUGAUUUAAAUUAAAAUUUUGAAUUUGAACUGAAAGUUUUAUUUUAAAUUUGUGUUUUAUAUUUAAAAAUUGAAUUUGAUUUAUAAUUAAGUUUGUUAUGUUGCUUUGUAUUUAAAUUUAUAAUUUAGUUGUAAUUUGAAUUCCAACUAUUGUUGUAGGUAUUUGAGAAGGUUAUAGUAUUUUUUAGUUGGAUAAAACCGAUUUUAUAGACCAAAAUAUUCUUCUAUGACCAAAAUACCCUUUAAAUAGGUACCGGGUGAAAGGUACUUAUGCCUAAAUGGUAAGUCGCCUCUAGAAUUAUAUUACAUCUCGACCAUCUAUGUAAAAAAAUAAAUGGUCAAGAUUUAUAUAAAAUUUAGAUGGUGUAUUGAAGUAUUACUCAUUUUUAAUUAGCGAAGCGUGCGAAGGCCAGAGUAAUAAUCUGUGUGAUGGCAAGAUAGCAAAUCCCAUAGCUUGAUGAGCUUUUUUUUUUUAUUUUUUGUUUUUCUUUUCACUGUACUCUGAUGAAGUUGUUGAGCUUGUUUGAAGUAGACAAAGUAUCCCAGGGCUGAAGUUGUGAAUUUAAUUUCAGUGGCAUAAAUUAUACUUCAAAUUUUGUUAAACUUCUUAAGUUUUUAUUGAGGGCUGUACAUCGAUUUUGAGAGUAAAUUUGGUCGGUCCGGCCGACUCAUUGUAAAAGGGAAAAAAGGGCUGCUGUACUUCAGCAGGCAUCAACUUGCGAUCACAUCCUGCAGCUAUAUAUCUACUUUUAUUCUUUAUAGUUUUCAAAAAGAAAUUAAAUUUCUUUAUGCAUUGAAGACGAAAAAACAAAGCUCAUAGGCGGGGAUGUAAGAAGGUAAAUUUGUCAUCUACUUAAAAGACACUAAAUAAUUCGCCACUUUAUUAAGGUGACUAAUAAAUCUUAAACUCUACCUACUAGAACCGGCGUUACUCCGGCGAGGUAUGAGGGUUAGAUUCCUAAAUAAUGUUUGUAGGGGUUAGUUCCCAAAUUUUUUUGCUUAAUUAAGAUGUGUAACGCAUGAUGAUUAUUAUUAUUAUUUUUUAUUUUUUUAUUUUUUCAUGAGCAAUGCUAGCUCUACAAUCCUUUAUGGCUUGUAGUUGUAACCUUACAAUUUCCACCGUUUUAUGUCUACUUUUUUCAAGCUUGUCUUUUCCCUUUUUUUUUUUAAAGAAAAGAACCGAAAAAGGUGAAGUAAAACCCUUGCUUUUUGGAUUGGAAAUGGUAAAGAUUCAAACCUUAAAAAUGUUGCAGACUUAGCAUUUCUUUUUUUUUUUAUUUGAUUUAUACCCUCCAACUUACAAAUCGUUUAAUUUAGGUCCUUGCAUUAGGCAAUUUUAAACGGUUAGAAUCAAAAGCCCACGAGGAAUGCACGUGAUCAAAAAUUGCUCUAGUCAAAAAGAAGAAAGCAGGGUUGCUCUAUUUUUGCUUAAUUUUCAAAUUUGUUACGAAUCGUAUGACUGCUACAACCUUACUACCCCUUCAUUUUUAUCAAGAAUUUUUUUUUUUUUUUUUUUUUUUUAGAGAUAGGUAGCACGCUACCCGCUUUGUUUAUUUCAUUUAGAAAUAAACUCAACUGGAAAUGCGAAUCAACUAGGAUUCGAACUUGGGUCUCGGGUAUCAACCAUCAAACCCUUUGCCACUUGCCCUAGGAAUGUUACCCACUUUAUUUUUAUCAAGAAUUGCUUUGGUUCUAUUUGCAUGUACAUCCCUCUUGCCUCUUAGUGUUUCACUCUAACAAAAUUCCCAACAUUACCAAUGGAAGAACGUAAAUCAAACAGUUUGUAAGUUGACGGAUUUAACUCAAAUUAAAAAAAUAUUAGGGAUUUAUUUCAAAAUAGGUUGACAUUCAGGGCGUGUCUAUCCAUUAUUCCAUUAUAACAUUUUUAUUUUUAUUAAUCAAGAUUACAUAAAAGUUAUCCACCGUCUCUGAAGCAAGUGGCAAAGCGCUUACUGGUUGGUACCCGAGAUCCCAAGUUUGAAUCAUAGUUGAUUCACAUUUCUAGUUGAGUUUAUUUUUAAAUGAAAUAGACGAAGCUAGUGGCGUGCUACCUAUUUCUCAAAAAAAAGAAAAAAAAGAUUUCUCAAAAGUUAUUAAAAAAAAAGCACUAAUCUAUACUUAUGUAUAAAUUCUCAUGUUUAAAUUCUAUGUGGAUGUAACUCUUUAAUUUGAGGGAGGUGGGGUUUUAAGCCAUUUCUUCUCUCAUCUAAAAAACUAUAGCUAAUCUAUUUUUUCAAAUGGCUUUUCGCUUUUCGGCGCAUUUACUCGUAUUUACUUUUUCUUUUUUUAGUAGCCCUUGAGCUACCAUUCAUGAAAGGUUAGAGCGAAAAGAUGUUGAAGUAAUUUAUUUCGUAUAUAAAAAUCAUUACCCACCUCCUCUCCACCUUCACCCAUUCCCAUUAAUUUACAUUAUUUUUUUAAUUAAUUAAUUUUAAUGGGUGGCACAAGUUAGAUUCCAUUUUUCUUCCUUACCAAAUUUUUCUUUAUUUGUUUAAUGGUUAAAAUUGAGGAAUAUGCUUUUUUUUUUUCUUUUAUGUACAAUUUUUUUUGUUAGUUUUAUAUUAUAUAUAUAAAAGAUGUGUAAUACUUUUACUUAAAUUUGUAAUAUAUAGUUCUGUGAAGGAGGUGCCUCCCUCUCCUCUAAUGCUCCCAAGGACAAAAAGUAUCGGUUAAGAUAUGGAGUUGCUAGGAAAGAGUUGAAGGCGCUGUGUUACCUCACGAAAUAGUUGGCCUCGGUAGAGGAUGCUCUAGACAAGGGUGCAAAGGGGUCCGAUUUCUAUGCAACUGUUAUAUUUAGUUUAGAUUUAUAGUUAUCUAAAUUGGAGUUAAACCCUAAUCUAAUUGGGAUUGAAUAUAAUUUGGCAUAUAUGGAUUAUGAGUCUGAAUCUAAUUUCAAAUUGAAUUAGAUUAGACUUGUGUUUAGAAAUCCAAUUAGAUUAGAGUUCCAAUUAAGUUUUGGUCUUUUGAGAGAUUCAAUCUUGUACUCCGUCUUUCAACAUUAAUAAAGUAUUUGCUCUGUUUUCAUCCGUGGAUGUAGGCCAUUUGCCGAACCACGUAAAUAUUGGUAUGCUCUUUUCUCUUAUCUUUUCGUUUCCUGCAUUAAAUUAUUUUCUGCAUCUAUUUUUCGCUUUUUCGAUUUUAACAGUAACAAUUUUUUUUAUCUUAUAGUUCUAUUUGUCUUUCGUUGUUUUUAUUGAAUUAUAAUUCCAUUAUGAAAGCUUUAAUAUGUUUUUUACUUAUUAAUUCCAAUCAAAUAUGAUUAUAACCUUUUUUUUAUAUUCUAUAUUUGCUUAUUUAAUCUAUAAAUUUUUAAUAAAAAAAUUUUAUCUGCCAUUUCGCGCGGUUCCUACACUAGUUAAACAACCACACAAGCGAAAAGGGAAAAGGGUAUAGUUGGUGACUUUUAAUUUUUUUUUUAGGCCACUUUUUUUAUUAUGACUUUCAUUGAUUUGGAUGAGUUGGAAGGCGUGUAUGUAACGUAAACUGAUCAAAUUUGGGGCAAGUUUUUUUAAAAAAAUCUAAAUCCAAUCCUAAUUACCAAACUCAAAUUUAAAAUUGGAAUUUGAAUCUGACGAAUUUUUAAAAUUUAUAUCCAAGCCCAAAUCUUUCCAAAAAUUCAAAAUCCGAAACGGAAAAGUCCAACUCGAAACAAUUAUUUCUUUUUGCCAUAUUUUCAAACAUAUUAUAUUGAAUCUAAAGUAAAAUAUAAAUUCAAAUAUAAACACCAAAUAUUUAUAUUUAUUAUAUUAUGUAAAAUCAAUUCUAGUUCGUGUCAUAUUUUGGAUUCAAAACGAGUACAGACAAAAUCCAUACCUGAAUCCAAAUCAGACGAGUUUUCGGCUUUUAUAUCUGUAUCCGAAAUGAUAUCCAUUUAGUAUUAAAUAAAUCCGCUCCAUUUGAAUUUGUUUUCGAUAAAAUUUUGAAUAUUUGUUUUAGAUUUGUCUUGAAGUGUGGGAAAUUUUGGUUAGAAUUUGUUUAGGAGUGUGGAAAAAUUUCCAGCACUUUGAUGACUUGAAAGCCUUCUCUAUGAAACUUCCAUUUCAUUUCCUCCCCUUAUCAAGAAGCACACAUGAAAUUGGCCAAAAGAUAUCUAAUAUGUUUUUGGUCGACCAAAAUGGCUUCAUUGAUUUUAUAAAAUUUCUUCAAUAUAUCCAUAACUAUAGCAUUUACUAAUGAGAUUUGAGGUUUAGAAGAACAUUUUGAGAAUAAAGGAAUGUAUAAAUUUAAAAAAAUUGAAUAGUAGUAGGAGAUAUAUAAGCAAAAGCCCCUAAAAUUUAUAUAGCAAAUAAAUCAAUCAUUCUGAGUCAGGAUGAAUGAAAAGAAAAAAAAUAGUGAAUAAUUUAUUACAUUCGGAGAACGGUAAAUGAUUUAUUAUUUCUUUAAAGACUAGAAGUUUUAUGUAUUAAAAAUUGAGCAACAUUAAUUACUUACUUUCAGUAUAGACUAUUUAAGAUGAUGUAUAGGGUUUAUGGUUUAAGAUUUAGGCUAAAGGCCGUGAACAAUUCAUCAUCUCGUACGGAAAUUUAAAGUUUGUUUUCAUGCAAGAAAACAUUUAGAAUUGUCUAUAACACACCGGCAAAGUACCAGUUAAUUUGUUCCAACUGUGAGAAAGUGCAACCAAAGCUCUAGAUUAAAGUGUUACGCGCCUCAUAGUUCGAGCCAAAAAUUGCGACGAACUGAAGUUCAAGGACUUGUCACGCAUCUCACACAUCGAGCCAAAAAUUGUGCUGAAUUAAAAUUUGAGAACUAAAGUGUACAGUUUGAGCACGAAAGUGUAAUUUACACUUAAGGCAGCGUUUGGUUAGGCGAUAAGGAUAGGAAUAGGCCCUUAUCCCCCCUUUAUAUCCAAACGCUAAUUUUUUAUCCGAGAAUAGUAGUUCUCGGUUAUCCCCACCAACACCUUCAUUUUCUAUAUAAAACUAUCUAAAAUUAUUCUUAUCUCCAGGAACAACCCAAUUUUCAUCCAAACACUAUUUUUCUUAUCCCCAUACUUGUACCUAUUCCUGUAAUAGCUAGUUCUUGCUUAUACCUGAACCACCUUACGUUUUAUCCACUAGUAGGGGGCCAAUAAUUGCAGCCUCAGUUUAGCGGUGGCGUGGGGUCAAGAAACACGACCUUGGAGGCUUGGAUGAUUUAAUUAUUCGAUUUCAGGACUGGGGCGUGGACUCUCUAAAGAAGUCGGCAGAACCUCCGGUCAUGCGAAAUCACAUGCAAGUUUUCCCCAACCUAUACGCUCCUUUUUCUUGUCUGCAUGCAGUUAAUUUGCAUAAAGAGAGAUACCAUACCUGCUGUGUAUAUAUAUUACCUAAUAAGUGAGUGAUUAUUUUAAGCAUUUCUCUUUCCUCGUUCUCUAUCUUUUGCACUCCAAGUGUUUGAUGAAUUGCCUGAGAAGUGGUGAAGUAGCUGUGGUUUAAGCUUAUUAUAUGGAGGAUUAUGGCUUUACCUUUCAUAGCCGAAUCGGCGGCGUCGGCAAUCAUUGAGAAUCUCGUUAGCACUUGCUCAUCCUACCUCGAGGCGUGCCCGGCGGCCGGCGGCAUGCAGGACGAGCUUGAACGGCUGCAGCACGCCCUUCCGCAGGUCCAAGCAGUCUUGACUGCGGUCGAGGAGGGUGCGAUGGUCAUGGCGCAGAACAAGGCGCUGGAUACGUGGCUCUGGCAGCUCAGAGAUGCCGUGGAGUGCGCGGAGGACGUGCUCGACGAGCUGGAGUACUACGAGCUAGAGAAAACAGUACAAGAUCGAGAUAACGAGGUGCCUGGCAUUCUCUCUAAAUGUAGGAGAAAGUUUGACAGUUUCGUUAAUCGUAUCUUUAGCGAUGACACACUGAAGAGGUUGAGGGAGGCCGUCAAGGGGUUGGAUCGGGUCGUUGCCGGUAUGGGGCCACUCCUUCAACUUGUUACUGGGUUAUAUGGCCCUGGCGUUAAGCGUCGAAAGAUCGAGGAAGUCCGGAAUGCUCGCGAGACUAGCUCCUUGUUAACCGAAAGUGAGGUGCUCGGACGAGACGAGGAGAGGGACUUGAUAGUCGAAUGGUUGAUCAAACCGAGAGAUACCGAUGUCUCUGCUUUUACCAUUGUUGGUAUGGGUGGGUUCGGGAAGACUACCCUUGCUCAACUAGUUUAUAGCGACGAAAGAGUGCGAGAGUACUUCGACCCGAUUAUGUGGGUUUGCGUUUCUCAAGACUUUGAUGCAGCUGUGAUAACAAGAAAGAUGUUAGAAGGUGCAAGUAGUGAGAGUUUUGGCGACAAGAGUCUAAAUGCGCUCCAUUAUAUCCUUAAACAGAAAAUUUUGUCGAAGCGCUUUUUGCUCAUGCUAGAUGAUGUUUGGAAUGAUGAUAAUACGAUAGAGUGGGAGAAAUUAGUUGCUCCUUUGAAAUUUGGACAAAGAGGAAGCAAGAUCCUUUUGACAACUCGAAUGGGUUCAGUUGCAGAUAUGGUGGCAAAAGUGAUGCAAUGUAAAAAGGAAUCUUUAAAUCUAAAUGGGUUGAAGGAGAGCGAUUGUAUGUCGCUUUUCAAUAAGCACGCUUUUCUUGGUGUGAACCCUGAUGAUUAUAAAAACUUGCGACCGAUUGGCGAGCAGAUAGUGAAGAAGCUUGGCGGAUGCCCAUUGGCAAUAAAAGUUACGGGAGGGCUCCUGAACUCCUGCAUGGAUUAUGACUAUUGGAAAAGAAUCUUGAAAAAAGACAUUGUAGAAUUACAACAUAGAAAAGACGACAUCAUGACAAUUUUGAGAUUAAGCUAUGAUCACUUACCCACAAAUUUACAACUCUGCUUUAGAUAUUGUAGUAUAUUUCCGCAGGAUUUUAUGUUUAAGAGGAAAGAGUUGGUCUAUAUGUGGACGGGUUCAGGUCUGAUUCCGCAGUCUAUUUGUGGGACACGGAGGCCAGAAGAUAUAGGAAAGGAAUAUUUAGAUCUUCUGACAAGAAAAUCAUUCUUUACAUGCAAAGCCAGUGAGCGUGGAUUUGAAAUUCCUAAAUUUUAUGUUAUGCAUGAUCUGUUGCACGAACUAGCACAAUCUGUUUCUCUAGGGGAAUGCAUCAGAAUAGAAGGUGAUGUUGUAGGAAAAACUAUUCCACGAACAGUUCGACAUUUAUCUGUUGACAAGGUCAAUAUUCUUUCCAUAAGAGAGAUAUCCAAUCUUAAGAAAUUGCGCACUCUUGUCAUAUCUAUUAAGAAGAAUCAUGAUCAUAGUGCAGAUCAUGCACUUGUAUUUAACGAGGUUAUAAAAGGGUUUAAAAGCUUACGCUUAUUCAGCUUAUAUGUGAAUUUUGACUUUCAUAGACUGCUCGAUGCACUUUACUGGUUGAUACACCUCCGCUACUUAUCUCUUACCCUAUCGCUUCCGCUAGAGGCAGUUAUGAAUAAAAGUUUCAUGAAUUUGUUUCCUCAAUCUCUUUUUAGGCUUUAUCACCUAGUAGUCAUGAAGUUCUCGACCCCUGUUUUAAUGACUUCUAGGAAUAUUGAAUAUGACGGCUUGACUAACUUGGUCAAUUUGCGUUUGUUAGAUCUUCCUCGUGGUAUGAUAAAAAAUAUUCGUUAUGUUAGCAAACUAUCCUUCAUCCGCAAAUUGGAAUAUUUUUUUGUCCAAGAGGAGAGUGGUUACAAAAUCAGUGAACUAAAGAACCUAAGAGACCUUCGUCGUUUGAAUAUUAGAGAACUUGAAAAUGUGAGCACUUCUGAAGAAGCUACGGAGGCCAAGUUGAACGAGAAAGAAUAUCUCAAAUCAUUGUUAUUGGGAUGGUCCAGUGACCGCUGCCAUAGUGCAGAGGCCGAUGAGCAGCUGCUUGAUAACCUCUGUCCACAUAUCAAUGUCAGGAAAUUGUGUAUUGAAGAAUACAAAGGCAUUAAAUCUCCAUGUUGGAUGACAGAUUUGUAUCUCAUCAAUUUGACAUGCAUCCAACUGGUCAACUGUAAAGAAUGGGAGCACCUCCCACCUCUUGGGGGUUUGCCUUCGCUCAAUAUUAUUCGGUUGAAGGGAUUGGUCGCUGUAAAGCAAAUAGGUUGUUCAUUCUAUGGGUGCGGUGGUGUAUGUGCCUUUCCAUCGUUGAAGCAACUAUUCUUACUUGACAUGCCUAACUUGGAGGAGUGGAUUGGAAUAGCUGAUGGAUGCAUGUUUCCUCAGCUUCAUACUAUGGUAAUCCGUGACUGCCCUAAUUUGAGGGGAAUGCCUACUUUGCCUCGUAGCCUUAGACUGUUGCUUAUUUCUCAUGUUGGAUUGACUGCUCUUCCAGCAAUAAAUCAGGAUUGCAAAAAUGACAGUUUAAGUUCUCUUUUUUAUAUUGAACCACCAAUUCAUAUUUCCAUUUGCUAUGGUUGCCCAUAGUUAACAUUUUUACAUUUUUUAUUCUGCAGCAGCAAGAACAUGUUAUGGCUCUUGAAAGCUUAAUCAUCGAACAAUGUGAGAAGCUCAAUUAUUUUCCAACAGAAUUUUUUGGGAAUUUGAGCCUUGUAAAAUUCUUGAGUAUAGAAAAGUGCCCGAAGUUGACAAAAUGUGGGAUCACAGACAUCCAACCGCCUUCUGCACUCGAUAGACUCAUUAUUGGGUCAUGCGGCAACCUUGAGGUGGCAUUGCUCUGGUCAGCGAAUUUAACCUUUCUUACUUGUUUGGAUUUACUCGAUUGUGCAAGUAUAGCAUCCCUUCCCCCAGCACAAGUGUGUGUGCGAUGGACCAUGCUCUCCCAUUUAGCAAUAAAAAACUGCAAAGAACUAUCAUCAUUUGGUGGAAUACAAGCUCUCAUAUCCCUUCGUUCUUUAGAAAUUGAAGGGUGUGAUAAGCUAAUUGAAGUUUCCCUGCUGCAGCCUCCAUUUCCAAACAAUGUCAGCCAAAAGAAUCCAGUGGACUGCUUUCUGAAGCUUGGUAGACUAUCAAUUGACCAUCAUGCGCUCUUGCUCAUGGAGCCAAUAAGAAGUCUCACCUUCAUUAGCAGUUUGACCCUCUCUGGUGCUUCGCAACUCACCUCCUUACCUGAGGAAUGGAUACUGCAAAAUCACACUGCCCUCAAAUUUUUAAGCAUAAGGAAUGCAGUCUCCCUUCAGUCCCUAACCCAGAGCAUGACAAAACUGUGUUCUCUCGAGAAUUUGGGUGUAUAUAAUGCUAGUCUCAUCCGGUCACUUCCAGAUCUGCCUACUUCGCUGUGUACUCUAUGCAUCACCGGGUGUCACCCUGUGUUGAAGGAGCGAUGCCAAGAGAAUAUAGGCCUUGAUUGGCCCAAGAUUGCCAACAUCCGUUAUGUGAGGAUUGAAUAGCACUUGCAGAGGUGAUGAAGCAUAUUGUAUGUACACUUUACCGCCCUUCAUCUCGCCCAUGCUACCCUCUGUAAUUAAUGCAAUUCACUCUGGUCUUAAUGACCUACUUCUCAUUCAAUCCUAACAAGUUUUAUCUCAUUUGUUGCAGGUUUACUUCCCUUUUUUCUGGAUACUGCUCCUUUUUGGAUAACGCAAGAGCUAGCAGUCAGGUUCAUAUUUAACUUAGCAGACUCAAAAGAAUUUUAUAUUUUUCACCCUUAAUUUACAGUUUGGAUACAUAAAUUAGAAGUAACGUGCUGCUCACAGGACUUGUGUGAUUGAAAAGAUAGGAUUAUAUCCGAUUAGCUAAUGCAUCUGUCGAGCACCUACCUUCCAUAUCUAAAUUAGAAGUUAAAUAAAUUUCUAGCUAGUGGCAAAGGGCUUGGUGGUUGGUACCCGAGACCCAAGUUCCAAUCCUAGUUGAUUCACAUUUCCAGCUAAGUUUAUUUCUAAAUGAAAUAAACGAAGCGGGUAGCGUGCUACCUAUCUCUCAAAAAAAAAAAAAAAAAAAAAAUUUCUGUCUCAAGACAUCUCUUGCUCUUCAUUUCACAUGCUAGGCCUGAACAUUGAAGCAAUGGAUUAGUCAUGUAAGACAAACAAUUUAUAAUGAUUAUUAUAAAUACUUUCUACAACUAAACAUGACUACUUGUCCAGUAAUUUUUUUCCAGGGGAAAUUAGAGAAGCGCGACAAAGCAUUCGAGUUGUUUUAAGGUAUUGAGUAUUAGGACAUCCUUCGUCUUACUGCAUGCAUGUGUUCUUCUAUUUUCUUGGUGCAGGUUUAGAGAAAGACUCCAUGUAGUAUUGCAUUUUCUUUCUUUUUAUUUUCUAUUGCCAGAUGAGUGAAAAAUGUGUAAGAAAGAAAUUAUCCUCUUUUGGAGCAAAUUAAGAGGUUAAGCUUAAAUGCUUCAAUUUUGUUUCCCCUCACUUUAUCUGCAUUUAUCCUAAAGAUAAUUUAACAUUGUUUGAUUCCUGCACAAGUAACAAACCUCAUCGCAUGGUGAGCUUGUUCUGUUUGUGUCUUAUCUGAUGAAGUUGUUAAGCUUCUUUGAAGUAGCUUAAACACCUAAUUUGGAAACUGUUUAUUUCAAGCUAUGUUUACUUAGCAGCAUAACAAGCACCCAGGUUAAACUUGUGAACUUAAUUUCUGUGGUAUAAAUUAUACUUUAAAUAUUGUUAAACUUAUUUUAAGCUUCUAGUGCAGGUUGCAUCGACAUUUGGAGUAAAUUUGGUAGGUGUGCUCUGUCGAAAAGGCUCGGUCAGACUCUUUGUGAAAGGAAAACGAGGCUACACUACAGAAGGCACGAACUUAACAACCAUAUUCAGCAGCUACCAGAUUUUAAUCUCUUUAUCAAUUUUUUUGAAAAAAUAAAAUUUAAUUUUCUAAUGCCUUGAAGAUAGAAAAACACAUUCAGAAUUGAACCAUUUUGGCGGUUGUUGUUCAUGUUUCAGUUCAGUCUUCAAUCUAAGUUUGGUUUUGAUUCAGAUUUUUCGGACAUUAGUGCUUUUCAAGUGUUCAUUUUCUGUCUAUACUGAACACACUCUAUUGAAGAGCUCCUCAUUUUUUCUUUUUUUUUUAAAAAAAUUUACACCCUCUUAACUUUUCUAUUCAGCUAUUUCAGUUAAUUAAAGUGAAAACUUUGUUAAUUUUAAUGGUAUUAUUUUUUUCUAUAAUUUAAUGCUUCAAUAAAAUUAUUUUUAGUAGUUUUUUUGUGUAACCAAACACCACACAUUAUGUGCACUGAGAAACAAUUGCCUGUACCCAGUGUACACAUAUAUGUGCACCGCACCAGUAUAUGAUCCCAUAUGUUUGAUCUAAAAUAUCUAAAGAGCCUAUACUGGAAAAAUUGUGAUUUUUUGAAAAGGGUAAACUUCAAAUUGCCUCCCUGUGGUUUAACUUAUUUUUAUUUUAUCAUUCAAUGGUUUAAAAAAUUAUAUUUAAUUAUUUUAUGUUUUAGCGUAUUUUUUACUUUGUCAUUCUAUCAUUAUUUUCAAAAUCUUUUUACUUUACCGUCCUGUUGGACAUAAAAUUUUUUGUUGAAACAAAAAUUAAAUCACGUAGAUAUCGAUUGAGCAGUUUUGAGAUUUAGGCUUCGUUUGAAAUUACGGGGAGAUUGCGCUACGUGCGGUGAGAAAGUACGAUAAAAAAUAUCUUGUUUGUUUUCAUAUGUAAUAUUACGUUUCGCAUAUCGUAAUUAGUCGAUUAUGAUAUAUUUUCUAUGGUCCCAUCGGAGAACGCAGAAGUGUAUCCCUAUAUGCUUUUAUUCCAACUCCAUUUUAUCAAAUAGAACCUCAAUACCAAACUAAGCCUUAGUGGUAGAAAAAGAAUAAAAGUUUUUGAUUUAUAAAAAGUCAGUGUCAAAUUUAUUUAUUUAUUUAUUUAUAUACAUAGGACAUUUAAAUACAAAAGAUGCAGCCAAUAAUUAAUUCCCUUAAUAUGUAAUUACUUCUAUGUAAUUUUUCAAUUCGUAACUUUUUAAAAUCCAAGCCCAAUUCAAUUAAUAUGAUCUACAACAAUAAAGGGAUUAUAUAUAAAAAAUUACAUGAUUUAUAAAAAAUAUAUAUUUCUGUAACAUCAAGUAAAAUAAAAAAUCAGUGACUGCCUAUAACGCAUCGGUAAAAUACUAGAUUAAAUUUAAGCUAAUAUAAGAAAAAUUUUUGUAAAUAUUCGUCUUUUCUCUUUCUCUCUCUAACUUCUAAAAAUAUAUUCGUCUUUUCUCUUUCUCCUUCUAACUUUUAAAAAUUUAUAUAUUUUCUGCCUCGAAGUUUCAAGUUGAUGUACUUUGUCUCCGCCGUCAGAAUUCUGUCACUGUCCCAUCUUUUUCUUAUAAUUUAUGACGGGAUAUGUCCGUAAAAAUAUAUUAAAAAGCUAAAUUUUUUUCCGUAGAAUUGAGUAACGGUAGUUUUGUCAUUUCACCCACUUCAAUAACAUUGUAAUUCUCUUAAAAAUAUCUGAAAUUUUUAAAGGCAAAACAUAGAUUUUUCAUAAAUCAGAAAAAAAAAGAAAGAAAAGGUGAGUAUUUAUAUAAGAGUUUUAUGCAUUUUAGCCUUGGUUUUAAUCUUAAUAUCUCUAUCACAAAAUUUUAGAAAUGUGAUGUAUAUGAUGUACUUAUAUAUAUGUAGGCAAUAAUUUGCCUUGUGACUACUUUGUAAAGUUUGUAUGGCCAAAACCCAAUCUAGUAUAUGUCAUCUACCCCAAUAAACAUACAAUGUAUUAAAAUUUCUAAGGUUUAAAAUAUUUUUACUAUAGCAUUAAGUAGUCUCAAAACUUUGUAAGAACUUGCAAAACGUGGAUAAAGAACUACUUAGAUUUUAAUUCUUAAGACAAAAAAAAAAAGAGAAGUACAGAGACCCUCUGAACUUUAGUUUUGCAGUAAAUAAGACAUCGAAACUUUUAAUUUUGAUAAUUAAAUUUUGUAAAUUUUAUUAUAUUGUUAAUUUCUGAACUUUUGGUAGAGUUUUACUUUACUCUCUAAACUCAUAAAAUGAACAUCUAAUGCUCUAAACUCUAAAUAUUUCAUACAUAUUACUUUUUCCGUCAGUUUUCGGUUAACAUAGCUUGACGGUAAACUGAUGGAAAGAAUAACAUGAAUGAAACAUUUAGAGUUUAGAGUAUUAGAUGUUCAUUUUAUGAGUUUGGGGGGUAAAGUAAAACUCCACCAAAAAUUUAAAAAGUAACAGUGCUAUUUAUCCUAUAGAACUAGGCUGGAAUACUAUCAAUAGCACAAAGUUGUUGGUGCUAUUAGCUUUUUAGCCCUUAGAUUGAGAAAUGUGCGAUUAGCAUGAUGUGGACUCCCCAAGAUUAAGUGGGUGGUUGGUUGAAUAGCAUAAUCUAACGGGUAAAAAUAAUUAAAAAAAUUAAUCUAACGGCAGAAAACUUGAUAGCACUAAGUGCUUGGUGCUAUCGAUAGUAUAGUAGCCGGACUCUUAUCCUAUAUAUUUUAUUUUUUUUUGAUUAAACAGGGAUAUACCCUAUUUGAAAGAGUAGCUAGUAGGUAGGGACAAAGGCAAUUUAAUACACAGGUCAAAACCCUAAUCUGAACACUAAUAACAGAGGAGUAUUUGUUAAAGAACUCCCCUGACAAAAUACUCUUCCCUCAACCCAAAAUAAAAUAAAUCCCAAAACAGAAGAGAUCGUUGCAAAGAGAAAGGAAGCUAGCUUGUUAGAGCCGACUCCCAUAGCAUGGCGGCCUCGCAGAUUCUUAUUAAAAUAUAUAGGACUCUUAUCCUAUAUAUUUUAAUAUACACUAUUGUUUUGGUAGAGUUCUUUUUUUUUUUGAAAAAUAAAUAGCAUAUUAUUUAUUUCGUUUAUUUUAAUUAGAAAUAAAUUUAACUGAAAAUAUAAAUCAACUGCAAUGAUUCAAACUCGGGAUCUUAGAUAUCAACAACCAAACCCAUUACAAAAGAGUUAAUUAAAGUUCAGAGGCUCUUUGUACAUUUUCCCCUUGUACGAUCUAUAAACCUCUAUUAUUGGUUAUGCAGACCGUAAUUUCUCCCUCGGGAAGGGUGUGGAGUGGGGUGGGGCCGGAUAGAUUCCUCUGUCGGCAGUAAUUGAGUUUCGUUGGCUGUCACAGAAGGCAGACAAAUUUGACCAGUAAGUCUUCUCUACGAAACACUUCCAUUUCAUUUCCUCCCCUCUUCCCAGAAGCAUUCAAGAAAUUACUCCUCCCCAGUUUUUUAUUCUUUUGGUAUGUCCUAGCUAUAUGCUUGUUAAAAAUUAAUUUGAAACAAACUGUUUAUCUCAAGAAGCUUAACUUGCUUGCUACCGAAUUAAAGUGGGCAUAUUUUGAUUUAGUGUUUGAUUUCUCAAAAAAUAUUUUUGAAAAUAAUUUAUUUAUUUUUUUAUUUAGCUUGUUUAGUUUCUAAAUUUUAUCCUAAAAUUGUCUUCCCUAUUCAAAAAAUAAAAAUUAUAUUUUUUUUCCCCGAAAAACAUGGACUGGUUUUCAAAUUUUUAUUUUCAAAAAAAAGAAAAAAAAAAGAAAAUUGGGGAAUCAACACACCCACUUAAUUAGUGGGGGGCUUAAUUUUGUUGUCGAAUAAAGCAGUCAUGCUUUAUUUAUUUCUCCUCCUAAAUCUUUCUUCCUCUUCGUCCAACUGUUUCACUCCAGGAGUUUGAUCAAUUGCCCGAUCGAGUAGUGGUGAGGUAGUAGGAGCUCGAGCUAUUAGGAGGAUCGUAAUAAUGGCUUUACCUUUCAUUGCCGAAUCGGUGGCGUCGGCGAUCAUCGACAAUCUUGUUGGCACAUGCUUAUCCUACCUUGAGGUGUACCCGGCGACCAGCGGCAUGCAGUACGAGCUCGAACGGCUGCAGCAGGCACUUCCGCAGGUCCAGGCAGUUCUGACUGCAGUCGAGGAGGGUGCGCCGGUCAUGGCACAGAACAAGGCGCUGGAUACGUGGCUGUGGCAGCUCAGAGACGCCGUGGAGAAUGCGGAGGACGUGCUCGACGAGCUCGAGUACUACGAGUUACAGAAGAAGACUACACGAGAUCGAGAUGACAAGGUGCGUGGUAUUCUAUCUAACUGCAAGAGAAAGUUUGAUAGUUUCGUUAAUCGUAUCUUUAGCGAUGACACACUGAGGCGGUUGAGGGAGGCCGUCAAGGGGUUGGAUCGGGUCAUUGCCGGUAUGGGGCCACUCCUUCAUCUUGUUGCUGGGUUAUAUGGCUCUGGCGUUAAGCGUCAGAACCUCGAGGAAAUUAAGAAUGCUCGCGAGACUAGCUCCUUGCUAACCGAAAGUGAGGUGCUCGGACGAGACGAGGAGAGGGACCUGAUAGUUGAAUGGCUUAUCAAACCGGGAGAUGCCGAUGUCAAUGUCUCCGCUUUUACAAUUGUUGGUAUGGGCGGGCUCGGGAAGACCACUCUUGCUCAACUAGUCAAUUGCGACAAAAGGGUGCGAGAGUACUUCGACCCGAUUAUGUGGGUCUGCGUUUCUCUGGACUUUGAUGCAGCUGCGAUAACAAGAAAGAUGUUAGACAACUCUUGCUCAACUAGUCUAAAUGCACUCCAUGAGAUUGUUAAACAGAAACUUACAUCGAAGAGGUUUUUGCUUAUACUAGAUGAUGUUUGGAACGAUGAUAAAAUGACAGAGUGGGAGAAAUUGGUUACUCCUUUGAAAUUCGGACAGAGAGGAAGCAAGAUCCUGUUGACAACUCGAAUGGAUUCAGUUGCGAAUAUGGCGGCAAAAGUGAUGAAAUGCAAACGAGAAUCAUUAAAUCUAAAUAAGUUGGAGGAGAGCGACUAUAUGUUGCUUUUCAAUAAGCAUGCAUUCCUCGGUGUGAAUCCUGAUGAUUAUAAAAACUUGCAACUGAUUGGCGAACAUAUAGCGACGAAACUUGGAGGAUGCCCAUUGGCCAUAAAGGUCAUGGGAGGAAUGCUGAACUCCUGCAUGGACUAUGAAUAUUGGAAGAAAAUCCUGGAAAAAGACAACAUGAAAUUACAACAAGGAAACGACGGCAUCAUGACAGUUUUAAGAUUAAGCUACGAUCACUUAUCCACAAACUUACAACUCUGCUUUAGAUAUUGUAGUUUAUUUCCGCAGGAUCAUAUGUUUAAGAGGAAAAAGUUGGUCAAUAUGUGGAUUGGUUCGGGUCUGAUUCCACAAUCUAUUUGUGGAAGGCAAAGGCCAGAGGAUAUCGGAAAGGAGUAUUUAAAUCUUCUGACAAGAAAAUCAUUCUUUACUUGCGAAACUAGUGAUAAUGGGCGGAAAAUUACCAAACAGUAUUUUAUGCACGAUCUGCUGCAUGACCUAGCACAAUCUGUUUCUCUAGGGGAAUGCAUCAGAGUAGGAGGUGAUGUUGCAGGAAUUACUAUUCCACGGACAGUUCGACAUUUAUCUGUUAAAAUGGUCAAUCUUCUUUCCUUCAAAGAGAUCUCCAAUCUUAAGAACGUGCGCACUCUUGUCAUUUAUGUUAAAGAGGAUAAUAAGCAUAAUGCAGAUCAUGCACUUCAAUUUCUCGAGGUUAUAAAAAGGUUUAAAAAGUUACGCUUAUUGAUCUUAUAUGUGAAUUUUUACUCUCAUAAACUGCCCGAUGCACUUAGUAGCUUGAUACACCUCCGCUACCUAUCUUUUUCACAAGGGGAAGUUGUGAAUGAAAGUAUUGAAUAUGAUGGCUUGACCAAGUUGGUCAAUUUGCGUUCAUUAGUUGUUUCCAAUGAUGUGAUAAGAAAUAUUCCUUUUAUUAGCAAACUAUCCUUCAUCCACAAAUUAGAAAAUUUUAUUGUUCGAGAGAAGAGCGGUUACAAAAUCGGUGAACUAAAGAACCUCAGGGACCUUCGUCACCUGUGUAUUAGGAAACUUGAAAAGGUGAGGAGCUCUGAAGAAGCCAUUGAGGCCAAUUUAAACGAGAAAAAACAUCUCAAAUCACUAUCAUUGAAAUGGUCUAAAGACCGCUUCAAUAGUGCAGAGGUAGAUGAACAGCUCCUCGAUAAUCUUUGCCCGCAUAUCAAUCUCAAGAAAAUGCGCAUUGCACAAUACCAAGGUGCUAAAUCUCCAUAUUGGAUGACAAAUCUGUCUCUUGUCAAUUUGACAUUCAUCGAACUAUGUGAUUGUAAAGGAUGGGAGCACCUUCCAUCUCUUGGGCAGUUUUCUUCGCUCCAAUAUUUUUGGUUGAGGAGACUGCAUGCAGUAAAGCAAAUAGAUUGUUCAUUCAAUAGAAGCAGCAGUGGAUGUGCCUUUCCAUCAUUGAAGAAGUUAUUCUUCGAUGACAUGCCUAACUUAGUGGAGUGGAUUGGAGUAGAUGACCGGUGCAUGUUUCCUCAACUUCUUUUUAUGAGUAUUACUUGCUGCCCUAAUUUGAGGGAAAUUCCUACUCUACCUUAUGGUCUAGGAGACUUGUAUAUUUCUAAUGUUGGAUUGACCGCUCUUCCAACAAUAAAUCAGGAUUACGCAAACAACAAUGUAAGUGCUUUAUUUUAUAAACUUCAAAUUUCUCCCGAGGUUUAGCUCAUUUUCACUUGCCCCCCUGUAGUUCAAAACGCAUCACUUUGCCCCAUCCCACCCGUGGUUUAGCCUAUUUUUACUUUGUCAUCCCGUGGUUCAAAAAAUUACACUUUGCCUCCUUUGGUUUAGUUCAUUUUUCAUUUUACUAUCCUCUGAUUUUUUUAACAUUUUUAAUUUGCCACGCUAUUUUAUAUAGAAUUUUUUUGACGAAAUAAAAUUAAACCAUAGAAGUGCAAAGUGAAACUUUUGAACCAUAAGGUGGCAAGGUGAAAAUGAGUUAAAUCACACGGGGGGGCAAUUUGAAGUUUACACUUAUAUCAAAACACCAAUUCAAAUUUGCAUAACUGUGGUUGCCCGGACUUAAGUAUCUUUUACAUCUUUUCUUUCUUGCAGCUGCAAGAACAUUCUCAGGCUCUUGAAAAUUUAGCCAUUGGACAAUGUGAGAAGCUCGAAUAUGUUCCACCAGAGUUUUUUGGGAAAUUCAAAGCCAUAAAAUACUUGCACAUAAAAAAGUGUCCGAAGUUGACAAAACGUGGGAUCUCAGACAUCCAACUGCCCUCUGUACUCAAUGAACUCACUAUUGGGUCAUGUGGCGACCUUGAGGUGUCACUGCUGUGGUCAGCGAAUUUAACUUCUCUCACUGAGUUGGAAUUACUCAAUUGUGCAAGGAUAGCAUCCCUUCCCCCACCACAAGUGUGUGCACGGUGGACGAUGCUUUCCCGCUUAGAAAUAAAGAAUUGCAAAGAACUGUCAUCAUUAGGGGGAAUGCAAGCUCUCGUAUCUCUCCAUUCCUUAAAAAUUGAAGGGUGUGACAAGCUAAUUGGAGUUGCCCUGCUGCAGCCUCCGUUACCAAACGAUGUCGGCCAAAAGAAUGCAGAGGACUUCUUUUUGAAGCUUGGUAAACUAUCAAUUGACCACCACGCACUCCUGCUCUUGGAGCCAUUGAGAAGUCUCUCCUCCAUCAACAAUUUGACUAUCUCUGAUGCUUCGCAACUCCCCAGCUUACCUGAGGAAUGGCUACUGCAAAAUCACGCUGCCCUCAAAUUUUUAGAAAUACAGAAUGCAAGCUCCCUUCAGUCGCUACCCGAGAGCAUGACAAGACUGUGCUUCCUCGGGUGUUUGGUAGUGCAUAAUACUGAUCUCAUCCAGUCACUUCCAGACCUGCCUACUUCACUGCGUACUCUACAUAUCACCGGGUGUCACCCUGUGUUGAAGGAGCGGUGCCAAGAGAAUAUAGGCCUUGAUUGGCCCAAGAUUGCCAACAUCCCUAUCAGGAUGAUUGAAUAGCAUUUGCAGAGGUGAUGAUGAUGCAUGUUGUGUGCUUACUUUAUCACCUCCAUCUCGCCCAUGAUACCCUCUGCAAUUAAGUGCAAUUCAUUUCGGUCUUAAUGAACUACGUCUCAAUCGAUCUUAACUAACAAGGUUGUUUCAUUUGUUUCAGGAUUACUCACCUUUUUUUUUUAUUUCGGAUAAUGCAGCAGCAGUCAGGUUCGUUUUUAAUUAGCAUCCUCAAUUAGAAAUUUUUAUGUUUUUCACCCUUACUUUAUGGUUAGGAUACAUAAUAAAAGGGAAUAUAGUGCUAAUUGCGCCCUAUAAUUAAUACAUGAUGUUAUGCUCACAGGACGACAGGACGGAUUGGUCUUAUAAAACAAACAAUGUAAUGAGUACAACAUAUGUUGCUAGCAUAUCAAUUGCUUUCUAAAGUUAAAUAUGACUAAUUGAGCAGUAAUUUCUCUCUAGAGGUGCAAAUAAGACUGAAGUCUCGCUCAUGAGUUAGAACAUAAGAGAUCCAGGGUGACAAAAGCUUUUUAAGUUUGUUAAAUUUCUUGGUGCAGGGCUAUAUAUAGUAAUGGUAUGGCACUCCUGUAUAUAUUUCUCUCAAUUUUUUUCAAAAAUAUAAAGCAAGAGUACAGUUUUGCUGCUUACGUUCUAUUUUGGUAGUGCAGGAACAUGUAAGGAUUAGGACUCCCUAUUGGCGCUCAAAUCUAUUUUUCCCUUAUCAGGCUAAAAACAAGAUUAAAAUCAUACUAAACUACUUCACUCUGUUUUUUGUUUUUCAGUGCAUGAGUUGGAAACAAAAAAAAAAAAAAAAAAUGAAAACUCAUAUUGUAGGCUAAAGUCUUACUGCUUAUGUUCUUCUAUUUUAUUAGUACUGGACUCAUAUAUGACUACCAUAUAUUGUCUAUCAAUUUAUUCAUAAGAAUAUUGAAAAAAAAAAAAAGACUUAUGUAGUUAUGUCUUACUUCAUGCUUGCGUUCUUCAGUUUUGUUGGUGCAGGAUCAGAGUAAGAUUCCAUGCGUUUCUUUUGUGUGUGUGUGUGCGCGCGCGCGCGCGUGUGUGUGGCCAAACUAAAGUAAAAUCUUUAAGAAAGAAAUUGCCCUCUUUUGCGGCAGGAAGGUUAAAUGCUUCAAUUUUGUUUCUCCUCAAUUUAUAUACAGGUCAUAAGCUUCUUUUGUCAUGUGUAUUAUCCAGUGAAGUUGUUAAACAUUGCUUUAAAUGUGUUUCAAAUUAUUAUUAUUAUUAUUAUUUUUUGGGCAGUAUAAUAGGCACCGGAUUAAACUUGUGAACUCAAUUUCAGCAGUAUAAAUCAUAACUUCAAAUUUUGCUAAACAUUUUUCAGUUUUUAGUGCAGGUUGUAUCGAUAUUUGGUGUAAAUUUGGUGGAUGCUCCAGCGAUAAGACUCGGUCGACUCACCAUAAAAGGAAAAUGAGAGCUACGCUGCAGCAGGCAUCAAUUCGCAAACCACAUCCUGCAAUAUCUUACAUUUACUUUCUCUACAUUUUUUAAACGAACUUUAGAUUCAUUUCGCAUUGAUUGCACACAACAACUGAAGCGUUACUGCUUAUGUUUUGUGUUUGGUGGUGCGUGAAUGAAUUACAUACUAUCGAUUUCUGUAUAUAUAGGAAUGUAACAAGACCAAAGUAGACUACUGCCUAUGUAUUUGUAUUUUCUUUUUGUUCUCGGUGGUGUAUGAAUUAAAAACACUCCUCUUAUUAUAGCCUAUCGAUUUCGUCCUUGUUACAAACUGCCUUGUUUGCAUUCUUGUAACGACCCAGCCCACUAGCAAUAAUAACUCGUUGGGCCCAGCCAACAGCCCAAAAUGCUUAAGCUCAGUUAUUAUUACUAGUGUCUAAGUCUCUUAUAAACCCAUCCGAUGUGGGACUAUUGGGGUGUCACAAUUCUCCUAUUUUUCUUGAUGCAGGAUUGGAAUAAAACUUCUACAUGUACGUACGUAGUCUGUNUAUACAUUCCUUUCGAAAAAAAAAAAAGAAAAAAAGAAAAAAGAACUGUAUGUUCUAAUUUUCUUUUUUUCCCUAUGAUCUGAUGAUGUUGUUGAGCUAGCUUCUUUGAAGUGGACAAAGUAUCCCAGGUCUAUCAAAAUGUGUUUCAAAUUAUUUUCCCAUUCUUUACCAGCAUAACAAGUACCCAGAUUAAAGUUGUAAAUAUAAUUUCGAAUCUAAUUUAAGUUUGAAUUUAAAUUUAAAUUUAAUUUAAAAUCUAAAGUUUCUUUUUUUUUGAGAAAACAGGGAUAUACCCUAUUUGUGAUUGAAGUAAAGCUAGGGGGGGUUAAAAUCUAAAGUUUUAUUCAAAUUUUAUUUAAAAUUUAUGGAUUCAAAUUGAAAUUAUAUAUAACGACCUGACCCGCUAACAACAAUAACUCGUUGGGCCCAAAUCACCGAUCCAAAAUGCUUAAGCCCAGUUAUUAUUACUAGUAUGUAGGCCUUAUAUAAACUGAUCGGAAUCAGUAUCCCAUCCGAUGUGGGACUAUUGGGGUGUCACAAUUCUCCUAUUUUUCUUGAUGCAGGAUUGGAAUAAAACUUCUACAUGUACGUACGUAGUCUGUAUAUAUAAUGUGAUUAGUGCCUUUAAUGUAGCUUAUUUUUACUGGUUAUUUUGUUUUACUGCUUAAUUAAUCUUCCCUUGGAGACCGAACAAUUAAUUAGCAAGCUGAAGUAUAUUCUGAGUGUCACAAAUAUUUGAGUUUCAGUAAGGAUAAUUACGUUAUAUAUUUUGGAGAAUGAGAUUCGGAGAUGUAUGUUUAAUUAGCGAAGCGCACGAAGGUCAAAGAGUAAUAAUCUGUUACGUAUGGUCAAUGAAACUCCUAUUACAUUCAAUGAAACGUAUAGGCAAAGGGCUUGGUGGUUGAUAUUCGAUACCCAAGUUCGAAUCCUAGUUGAUUCACAUUUCCAGCUAAGUUUUUUUUUCUAAAUGAAAUAAACGAAGCGGGUAGCGUGCUAACUAUCUCUCUCAAAAAAAAAAAAAAAAAAAAAAAAAAAAAUCCCUAUACAUUCCUUUCGAAAAAAAAAAAAGAAAAAAAGAAAAAAGAACUGUAUGUUCUAAUUUUCUUUUUUUCCCUAUGAUCUGAUGAUGUUGUUGAGCUAGCUUCUUUGAAGUGGACAAAGUAUCCCAGGUCUAUCAAAAUGUGUUUCAAAUUAUUUUCCCAUUCUUUACCAGCAUAACAAGUACCCAGAUUAAAGUUGUAAAUAUAAUUUCGAAUCUAAUUUAAGUUUGAAUUUAAAUUUAAAUUUAAUUUAAAAUCUAAAGUUUCUUUUUUUUUGAGAAAACAGGGAUAUACCCUAUUUGUGAUUGAAGUAAAGCUAGGGGGGGUUAAAAUCUAAAGUUUUAUUCAAAUUUUAUUUAAAAUUUAUGGAUUCAAAUUGAAAUUAUAUAUAACGACCUGACCCGCUAACAACAAUAACUCGUUGGGCCCAAAUCACCGAUCCAAAAUGCUUAAGCCCAGUUAUUAUUACUAGUAUGUAGGCCUUAUAUAAACUGAUCGGAAUCAGUAUCCCAUCCGAUGUGGGACUAUUGGGGGUGUUAAAUUAUAAUUUUAAGUCUGAAUAUAAAUAAAUUGAAAUUUAAUUUUAUAUUUUAAAUUAUCCGUUCAAUUUCAAAUUUUAUUUUUUAAAAAAAAUAUAUUUAAAGUUUUGACAUUGUUUUAAAACUUUGAUGUAAAUUUUUAAUAUUUAAUUUUCCGUUUGAAUUUAAACUAAUAUAUUAUAAAGAUACAAUUAGCAUAUUAUUUUAUAUUUUUUAUAUCUAUCUGAACCAAAUACCGACAAUAGGAAUGAUUUAUUUCGAUUCCGAUUCGAGUGGCGAACCAAAAAAAAAGAGGUAAUGAAUCAUUUCGAUUCUGUUUCUGGCUUAUUCUCAUUUCAACUUCGAACUAAACACACCAGCGUGUUUGGUUCGCUUCUUUUUCACCCUGAAAUCAUAAUCGGAAUGGGUGAAUCCGUUUGUAGGUGUUUGGUAUGCGGAAGUCCCAUUCCAAUUCCGAUUACCGAGCGGAAUGGAAAUCCUUCAAUCAUCUCUUUUUCCAAUCCGGCCUAGGAGGCCAGAUUGAAAGUUGAAUCCGGACAAAAUGGUUAUUUCUUCGGGUUAAAUUUAAUUUUCAACUUUUUAAUUAAAAUAUGAGUUUAAUUUUAGAAAUUAAAUUUAUAAUUUUAAAUUUUAAUUCAAAUUUGAAUUAAAAAUUAAAAUUUAAUCAAGCAUUUUGAAUCUCACUUAUAAAUUUGAAUUUAAAUUAAAUUUUAAUUUAUAGAAAGUUUUAUUCAAAUUUUAUUUAAAACUUAAAUUAAAUUUAUGGAUUCAAAUUAAAAUUUAAAUUGUUAUUUUAAGUUUGAAUUUGAAUAAAUUGAAAUUAAGUUUUAUAUUUUGAAUUAUCCACUCAACUUCAAAGUUUAAUUUUUUUUAAAACAAUAGAUUUAAAAUUUUGACAUUAUUUAAAAAUUUUGAUGUAAAUUUUUAAUAUUUAAUUUUCAAUUUAAAUUUAAAUUAAUAUAUUAUAAAGAUAAUGUUAGUAUUUUAAUUUGAUUACAUUUUUUAUAUCUACCUGAACCAAAUACUGAUAAUGGGAAUAAUUUAUUCCGAUUCUGAUUCAGGUAACGAACCAAGCAGAAUUAGGAAAUGAUCAUCAUUCCGAUUCUGAUUCCAGCUUAUUUUGAUUCCGAUUCUGAUUUCCAUUCUGACUUUGAACCAAACGCACCCUUAGUAUUAAAUAAAUCCACCCUUCGCAUUCGUUUUCGGAUAAAAUUUUGAAUGGUUGUUUCAGAAUUUGUCUUCAAGUGUGGAAAAUUUUGUUUAGAAUUUAUUUAGGAGUGCGUAAAGUCUUCUCUAUGAAACUUUCAUUUCAUUUCCUCCCCUCAUCCGAGACUAUUUUGGUGGACCAAAAAUAUAUUAGAUAUUUUUUGGUUAAUUUCGUGUAUGCCUCUUGGGCAAAAUGGCUUCAUUGAUUUUAUAAAAUUUCUUCAAUAUAUCCAUAACUGUAGUGUUUACUAAUGAGAUUUGGGGUUUGGUAUAAUAUUUUGAGAAUAAAGGGGACUUAUAAAUUUAAAAAAUUUUGAAUAGUAGUAAGAGGUAUAUAAGCAAAAGCUUCUAAAAUUUAUAUAGCACAUAAGUCCAUCAUUCUGAAUUAGGAUGAACAAAAUGAAAACAAAAUAGUGAAUAAUUUAUUGCCUUAUGAGGACAGUAAAUGAUUUAUUAUCUCUUUAAAGACUAAAAGUUUUAUGUGUCAAACAUUGAGCGACAUUAAUCACUUUCAGUAUAGACUUUUUUUUUUUUUGAGAGAUAGGUAGCACGCUACCCGCUUCGUUGAUUUUAUUUAUAAAUAAACUUAGUUGGAAAUAUGAAUCAGCUAGGAUUCGAACUUGGGUCUCGGAUACCAACCAUCAAAUUCUUCGCCACUUGCUCUAGUGACGGUCAGUUCCAGUAUAGACUAUUUAAGAUGACAUAUAGGGUUUAUGGUUUUGGGUUUAAAGUAAAGACGAUAGACAAUUCAUCAUCAUCUAGAUGCAUCGUAUGAAAAUUUAGAGUUUGUUUUCAUGCAAGAAAAUAUUUAGAAUUGUCUACAACACACCGGUAAAGUACUAGUUAAUUCGUUCCAAAUUUUGACUCAACCUAUGUAUAAAAAAUUACAACUAAUUAAAGUUCGAGAAUAAAGUGUCACGCACCUCAUAAUCAAACUAAAAAUUACGACAAAUUAAAGUUCGAGAACCUGUCACGCAUGUCACAAUUUGAGCGAAAACUUACGAAAAUCCGAGAACUAAAGUGUAUAGUUUGAGCAUCAAAGUGUAAUUUAGCCUUAUGUUUUAUCCACUUGGUUUGGUGCCAAUAAUUGCACUCUCAAUACAGCGAUGCCGUGGGUUCAAGGAAACACGACCUUAAAUUUGGAUAUGACUAAUUAAUUAUGUGAGUUCAGGACUGGGGUCGUGGAUUCUCAAAGAAGUCGGCGGAACCUUCGCCUCAUUUAUUUCAUUUAGAAAUAAAUGUAGCUGAAAAUGUAAAUCAAUUAGAAUUCGAACUUGGGUCUCGAGUACCAACCACCAAGCCCUUUUGUGACUUGCGCUAGGGACGGUCGGUAAAGAGUUUGAUUUUUACUCUUUGGAGUUUGAUUUUUACUUCUUGAAAGGUCCUGAUAUCAAUGAUUUGAUAGUAUAAUAUAUUUCAUCUACAGGAUAUUUUAUUUGUUUAAAAAAAUAACUUGUAAGGUUAAAUGUAUGUAGUAUCUAAUUUUAGAUUUUCCCCUAUUUCUAAUUAAGAAGCAUACAAGAAAUUACCCUUCGUGUAUCUCUCGACAUCUCUCUUUCCUUAUUCUCCAUCUUUCGCACUCCAAGUGUUUGAUCAAUUUACCAAAAAAAAUAUCUAAUAUAUUUUUGGUUGACCGAAAUACCUAACCGAUUUUAUAAGACAUUUUCAAAUAUAUCCCUAACCAUAGAGUUUAUAUACUAAUGAGAUUUGGAAUUUAGAAGAAUAUUAUGGGAAUAAAGAAUAAAUUUAAAAAUUUUGGAUAAUAGUGAGAGAUAUAUAAGCAAAAGCCCCUAAAAUUUAUACAGAACAUAAAUCCAUCAUUCUGAAUCCGGACGAACAAUAGAAAAAAAAUUAAUUAAUUUAUUGCCUUCUGAAGACGGUAAGUGAUUUAUUAUCUCUUUAGAGAAUAAAAAUUGUGUGUCAAACAUGGAUCGAGCAACAUUAAUUACUUUCUGGGUAGACAACUAAGAUAACAUUUAGGGUCGUGAACGAUUUAUAAUUACCUAGAAGCGUCGCAUGAAAAUUUAGAAUUUGUUUUUACACAAGAAAACAUUUAGAAUUUGUUUUUAAUGAUACCAUAGAAAAACUGACCUUCCCUAGCGCGCGCAAGUGGUAAAAAGGCUUGGUGGUUGGUACCCGAGAGGCAAGUUCGAAUCCUAGUUGAUUCACAUUUCCAGCUAAAUUUAUUUUUAAAUAAAAUAAACGAAAUGCAUAGCAUGCUACCUUUCUUUCAAAAAAAAAAUAAAAAUAAAAAAUGAUACCAUAGAAAAAGGAUAGGGGAAGGAAAUACCCACCUUGAUGGAUGCUCAGCCGGCAACUAAUUAAUCUGAAAGCAACCCGCCAAAUUUUCAGUGCUGCCACAUGUAAAGUCUUCCAAACUAUGCACUCUUUUUCUUUGCUGGGAUUUGGCAUAAAAAUAAGCAUUAAUCUUUGAUAUCUACUGCAUAACAAACCCAAGUAAUUGUUUUUUUUUUUUUAUGGAAACCCAAGUAAUUGUUUGAACAUCUCUCUUCCCUCAUUCUCUAUCGAUCAAUUACCUGAAUGGUGUCAAAGUAGUGGAAGGUAGAGCUGUUUGGAGGAUUAUGGCUCCAACUUUCAUAGCCGAAUCAGUGACGUCGGCAAUCAUCGAGAACCUUGUCAACACUUGCUCGUCCUACCUCAAGGCAUGCCAGGCGGCUGGCGGCUUGCAUGACGAGCUUGAACGGCUCCAGUACGCCCUUCCGCAGGUCCAGGCAAUCUUGACUGCGGUCGAGGGGGGUGCGCCGGUCAUGGUACAAAACAAAGCACUGGAAACGUGGCUGUGGCAGCUCAGAGACGCCGUGGAGAACGCAGAGGACGCGCUCGACGAGCUGGACUACUACGAGCUGGAGAAGGCUAUACAAGAUCGAGAUGACAAGGUGCGUGGUGUUCUAUCUAACUGCAAGAGAAAGUUUGAUAGUUUCAUUAAUCGUAUCUUUAGCGAUGACACACUGAAGCGGUUGAGGGAGGCCGUCAAGGGGUUGGAUCGGGUCAUUGCCGGUAUGGGGCCACUCCUUCAACUUGGUACUGGAUUAUAUGGCCCUAGUGUUAAGCGUCGGAAGAUCAAUGAAGUCCAGAAUGCUCGCGAGACUAGCUCCUUGUUAACCGAAAGUGAGGUGCUCGGACGAGACGAGGAGAGGGACUUGAUAGUCGAAUGGUUGAUCAAACCGAGAGAUACAGAUGUCUCCGCUUUCUCAGUUGUUGGUAUGGGUGGGCUCGGGAAGACUACUCUUGCUCAACUAGUCUAUCGCGAUGAUAGAGUGCAAGAGUAUUUCGACCCGAUUAUGUGGGUUUGCGUUUCUCAAAACUUUGAUGCAGCAGUGAUAACAAAAAAGAUGUUAGAAGGUGCAAGUAGUGAUAGUCUUGGCGACAAUAGUCUAAAUGCACUCCAUUAUAUUCUUAAACAGAAACUUACAUCGAAGAGGUUUUUGCUCAUGCUAGAUGAUGUUUGGAAUGAUGAUACAAUGACGGAGUGGGAGAAAUUAGUUGCUCCUUUGAAAUUCGGACAGAGAGGAAGCAAGAUCCUGUUGACAACUCGGAUGCGUUCGGUUGCAGAUAUGGCGGCAAAAGUGAUGAAAUGCAAACAGGAAUCAUUAAAUCUAAAUAAGUUGGAGGAGAGCGACUAUAUGUUGCUUUUCAAUAAGCAUGCAUUCCUCGGUGUGAACCCUGAUGAUUAUAAAAACUUGCAACCAAUUGGCGAACAUAUAGCGAGGAAACUUGGAGGAUGCCCAUUGGCAAUAAAGGUCAUGGGAGGAAUGCUGAACUCCUGCAUGGACUAUGAAUAUUGGAAGAAAAUCUUGGAAGAAGAAGACAUCAUGAAAUUACAGCAAGGAAAGGACGGCAUCAUGACAAUUUUGAGAUUAAGCUACGACCACUUACCCACAAACUUACAACUCUGCUUUAGAUAUUGUAGUAUAUUUCCACAAGAUUAUAUCUUUAAGAGGAAAGAGUUGGUCUAUAUGUGGAUGGGUUCAGGUCUAAUUCCGCAGUCUAUUUGUGGAAGACGAAGGCGGGAGGACAUUGGAAGGGAGUAUUUAAAUCUUCUGACAAGAAAAUCAUUCUUUACUUGCAAAACCAGUGAUUAUAGGUUUAAAAUUUCUAAACAUUAUUUUAUGCACAAUCUGCUACAUGUCCUUGCACAAUCUGUUUCUCUAGGGGAAUGCAUCAGAAUAGGAGGUGAUGUUGCAGGAUAUAUUAUUCCAAAAACGGUUCGACAUUUAUUUUUUGAAAACAUAAAUCUUCUUUCUAUCAGAGAGAUCUCCAAUCUUAAGAACUUGCGUACUCUUGUCAUAUCUGUUAAAGAGAAUCAUGGGCAUAAUGCAAAUCAUUUACUUGUGUUUAAUGAGGUUGUGGAAGGAUUUAAAAAGUUAUACUUAUUGAGCUUAGAUGUGAAUUUUGACACUUAUAAACUGCCCUAUGCACUUAAUAGCUUGAUACACCUCCGCUACCUAUCUCUUUCGGAAAGAGUGGUAAUAGAUGAAAGUUUCAUGGGCUUCAUUCGUUCAUCUCUUUGUAGGCUUUAUCACCUACAAUUCCUGAAGUUCUUUACUCAUGGAACGACUACUGAUAUUAUUGAAUACCCCGGUUUGACUAGCUUGGUUAACUUGCAUUUAUUAGAUGUUCCUUCUGAUGUGAUAAAAAAUAUUCCUUAUGUUAGCAAAGUACCCUUCAUUUGCAAAUUAAAAGAUUUUUUUGUCCAAGAGAAGAGUGGUUACAAAAUCGGCGAACUAAAGAACCUGAGAGACCUUCGUCAUUUGUGCAUUAGAGAACUUGAAAAUGUGAGGAGUUCUGAAGAAGCUAGGGAGGCCAAGUUGAACAAGAAAGAAUAUCUCAAAUCAUUGUCAUUGCAAUGGUCUAGAGACUGCUCUAGUGGUGCAGAGGCCGAUGAGCAGCUCCUUGAUAACCUCUACCCGCAUAUCAAUCUAAAGAGAUUGUGUAUUAAAGAAUACAAAGGUGUUAAAUCGCCGUGUUGGAUGACAGAUACGUCUCUCAUGAACUUGACAUUUAUCGAACUGAUUAAUUGUAAAGGAUGGGAUCAUCUCCCGCCUCUUGGGCACCUAUCUUCCCUCAAUUGUCUUUACCUGUGUGGACUGCAUGCAGUAAAGCAAAUAGGUUGUUCAUUCUACGGGAGAAGCGGUGUAUGUGCCUUUCCAUCAUUAAAGCAGCUAUUCUUACUGGACAUGCCAAACUUGGAGGAGUGGAUUGGAAUAGAUGAUGAGUGCAUGUUUCCUCAACUCCAUUCUUUGGAAAUCCGUCAAUGCCCUAGCUUGAGGGGCGUGCCUGCUCUGCCUCUUGGUCUAAAUAAAUUGCAUAUUUCUGAUGUCGGAUUGACUGCUCUUCCAGUGAUAAAUCAAGAUUGCGGAAACAACAAUGUAAGUGCUCUGUUUUAUAAACUUUAAAUUACCUCACUGAAGUUAAGCUUGUUUUCACUUUGGCCUCCUGUAGUUCAAAAAGUUUCACUUUGCCCCCCCUGUGAUUUAGCUUAUUUUCACUUUGCUAUUCCAUUGUUCAAAAAGCUGCACUUUGCCCUCCUAUAAUUUAGCACAUUUCUCACUUUGCCAUCCUAUGGUUUUUUGAUCAUUUUUAAUUUGCUACACUAUUUCAUACAGAGUUUUUAGCGAAAUAAAAAUUUAACCACAUGAGUGCAAAGUGAAACUUUUAAAACCAUAGGAUGGCAAGGUGAAAAUUAAUGAGGUAAACUACACAAGGGUAAUUUGAAGUUUACCUUUAGAUUAAAACACUAGUUCAUAUUUGUCUAGCUGUGAUUGCCCAGACUUAAUAUCUUUCACAUAUUUUCAGCAAGAACAUUUUCAAGCUCUUGAAAGCUUAAUUAUAGAACAAUGUGAGAAGCUCGAAUAUGUUCCACCAGAGUUUUUUGGAAAGUUCAAAGCCAUAAAAUUCCUGCGUAUAGAAAAUUGUCCAAAGUUGACAAAAUGUGGGAUCUCAGACAUCCAACUGCCGUCCGUACUCAUUAUGCUCACUAUUGGGUCAUGCGGCAACCUUGAGGCGCCAUUGCUGUGGUCAGCAGAUUUAAGCUCUCUUACAUGGUUGGAAUUACUCGAUUGUGCAAGCAUAGCAUCCCUUCCCCCAGCACAAGUGUGUGCACAGUGGACAUUGCUUACACAUUUAAAAAUAAAGAACUGCAAAGAAUUGUCAUCAUUUGGUGGAUUACAAGCCCUUAUAUCCCUCUGGCAUUUAGAAAUUGAAGGGUGUGACAAGCUAACUGAAGUUGCCCUGCUGCAGCCUCCAUUUCCAAACAAUGUCGGCCAAAAGAAUGAAGUGGACUGCCUUUUGAAGCUUGGUUAUCUAUCAGUUGACCACCACGCGCUCCUGCUCAUGGAGCCACUGAGAAGUCUCUCCUCCAUUAGCUGGUUGAUUAUCUCUGAUGCUUCGCAGCUCAUCACCUUACCAGAGGAAUGGCUACUGCAAAAUCACGCUGCCCUCAAAUUUUUGAGCAUAACGAAUGCAGCCUCCCUUCAGUCCCUACCCCAGAGCAUGACAGAACUAUGCUGCCUAGCGAGUUUCGGUGUAACUAAUGCUAAUCUCAUCCAGUCACUUCCAGAUCUCCCUAAUUCACUACGCACUCUCUGCAUCACCGGGUGUCACCCUGUGUUGAAGGAGCGAUGCGAAGAGAAUAUAGGCCUUGAUUGGCCCAAGAUAGCCAACAUCCCUAAUGUGAGGAUUUAUUAGCAUUUGCAGAGGUAGAGGUGAUGAUGAUGCAUAUUGUACGUCCGCUUUACCACCCUUCAUCUCUCCCACGCUACCCUCUGUAAUUAACACAAUUCACUUUGGUCGUAAUGAGCUACAUCUCAUUCGAUCUUAACGAGGUUAUUUCAUUUGUUUCACUAUUAUUUUAGCUUGUUUUGGGUAAUGCAAGAACAGUCUGGUUCGUUUUUAAUUAGUAUCCUCAAAAGAAUUUGUACUCUUAACUUUAUGAUUUGGAUACAUAGUAAGGGAAUAAAGCGCUACUUGCCCCCUAUAAUAAAUACAUUGUGUUGUGCUCGCAGGACGGAUUGGUCUUUGUAAAACAAACAAUGAUUUGGAUACAAUUAAAGAGAGAGAGAGAGAGAGAGAGAGAGUAACCCUAAACAAGUCUCCAGAAUUAAGUUCUCUACUAAUAUUUUAUGAUUUUUUUUCUUCCUCCCUUUACUUUACCUGAAUUGACUUCGCCUCAUAGGAAAGCAAAAUUAAUUUCAGUAUUUUGGAAAAACUAUACUUUCGAUCUUACUAAUAUUAUGGUGAACCAAACAGCAGAAAUGAUUAAUUUUCAUCGAAAAUUACUUGCUCUCUUCCCAUUUAUGGUGAAACAAUCAGACCCUUACAGCAGUCAGUAUUAUAUAGGUUUGUUUGUAUCAAAGCUUCGAGACAGGUGUACUAACAAGAAAGAUGUUAGAUACGAUAACUAAGGAGAAUUUUGGCGACAAGAGUUUCAACGUAGUUAGUUAAUUUGGAUUCAGCAAACAUUCAGUACGAAUGCAAUACGAAUAAAAUUCAUAUAUUGAUUUUUAAAUUCGUUCAAAAAUAGGGCUUAAAAAAGGGUUCCGAUUUAAAUUAUUCAGGUUAAAAUGUCAGCUAUUAAAUUAAAAAAAUUUUUCCUAGAUUUAUGCUACCAGCGUAAAUAGCUAUAAUUCUUAAGAAUAUAAAAUAGAGAGGUACAAAAUAAAGUAGAUUAAAUAAAAAAAGCAAUAGAAAAGUUCAUUGUCAUCUUCAUCUCCAUCUUUUUUAUGAUCCACAUAUUCUGAAAGUUCAUGAAGUUUUUCAAUAAUACGCAAAUAAUUUGCAAAUAAUUUGCAAAUUAACUAACUAUGGUGAAGAUAGGGAUUUUAUCAAAAAAAUUUGCGUAUUUCUUUGGCCGAAUAGUUCAAUAGACGUGAAUUAUUUGCGAAUAAUAAAUCUAACCAAAAAAUUCAUAUUUUAUUCUGAUUUUUUGAAAAAAUAUUGUAUACGAAUCGAUUUAUUCGAAUUUUCAAUAAUUUGCAAAUAAUUCUCGAAUUAACUAACUAUAAGUUUGAACGCACUGCAUACGAUCCUGAAAGGGCAAACUAAUUGCUCUUAUAAAGUUUUGACGAAGUAGAAAAGUGAAAGAGAAGAGUCUUUACAUCUAACCGGUUUGGAAGAGCAAGCUUUUUUUUUUUUUUAAGAAAGGUAGCAUGUUAACUAUUUCGCUUAUUUUAUUUUUUAGAAAUAAAUUUAGCUGAAAAUGAGAAGCAAUUAGGCUUCGAUCCUGAACCUCGGGUAUCAAUCACCAAGUCUUUGGUCACUUGCGCGAGGGAUGGUCGGAUUUGGAAGAGCAUGACUAUAUAUAUAUACUAGCAACUAACCCGUGCAAUGCACGAAUUUUAAUUUUAUCUUUUAAUUACAUCUUUUAUAUAAUAUAUAAUAUUAAUUUUUACAUAUUAAGUUUUUUUAAUAUCUUUUUAUGACAACUUUUAUAUAAUAUAUAUUAAUUUUUUACAUAUUAAGCUUUUAUUAGAAAUAUUAUUGAAUCAAAUUAAAAUAAUACUAUCAUGAUAUACUAAUAGAAUGUAAGUAAAUAAUUUAAAAUAAAAAGAUUUUAAAAUGAAGAAGUAAAAAGGUUCAAAUCCAUUAGAAAUUUAACAUAAUUAUUAUUUAUAUAUAAUUAAUCUUAUUUCAAAUUCUUUAUGACUAAUUUUGUAAACUUAUUUUUUGAAGAAUUUUAAGUGACUAAAUUUGGAAAGUAAUUUUUUAGAACUUGUGAAGCAUGAUUCAUAUUAUGAUUCCUUUAAACUAAAAAGUUCUUGUUAUUGUGAAUAAUUAGUCAUGUAUGUUUAUCAAUUAUUUUCAACAAAUCAAUCAAAAAUUUAAAUAUAAAUAUCAAACAUACCUCCCAAAAGUAAUUAUUGAGUAUUUCUUGGGAUAGGGGCAAAUAUUUAUGCGCUCUGAAAAUUUCAAUACUAUGAUGAAGUCCAAAGCUAGUGGUAUGUAUCCUGAAAAAAAAGAGAAGAUAAUAUAUACAUUACAAACCGACCAAAUCAUUACACGUAAUUAUUUUCAAAUUUUUAAAAUAAACUUGCCUUUUAUAGAAAGAUGGUGCAUAAAGGUGGAAAAUAAGUCUGCCUCCAUCUAUCAUACAUAUGGAUGAUAACAUUAAUAAAAUAAUGGCAUUCAUUUGUAAUACCUACAUAUGGAUGAUAAAAUUUGUAACGUUUUAGAUAUUCACUGUGAAAGAUGAAUAUGCCUCACAAUCAAAGAAAAAAGGGGAAAAAAAAAUAACUGAUGUGCGGUUAAGAAAAAAAAAUAACUGUUGUGUGGUUUAGGAAAAAAAUAACUGUUGUACGGUUAAGAAAAAAAAGUAACUGUUGUGCAGUUUAGAAAAAAAAAUAACCGUCGUACGGUUAAGGAAAAAAAAACUGCUGUGCAGUUAUUUUUUGGUAUAUGUAGUUAUGCUCUCUUAUCAUAUAUAUAUAUCUAAUAUAUAUAUAUAUAUAUAUAUAUAUAUAUAUAUAUAUAUAUAUAUAUAUAUAUAUAUAUAUAUAUAUAUAUUUUAUCAUUAUGAACCAUAAGAUGCCACGUGACGCACUUACAUGAAAAGUUCUAAUGUGCCACGUGCGCACUUAUCAUAAUAUAUAUUUUUUAACUUAUCAUAAUAUAUUUUUUAGUUCCAAUAUAUUUAUAUAUAUAUAUAUAUAUAUAUAAUAUAUAUAUAUAUUAUAUAUAUAUAAUUAUCAUUAUAUAUAUUUUAUAUAUUAUCAUUAUCAUUAAGUAAUUAUAAUAAUGCAUUUACUAUCAUACAUAAGGUGAAAAAUAGUCUGCCUUCAUCUAUCAUACAUAUGGAUGAUAACUUAAUAAAAUAAUGCAUUCACUUGUAAUACAUACAUCAUGAAUGAUAAAAUUUGUAACGUUUUAGAUAUUAACUGUGAAGAUGAAUAUGCUCACAAUUCAAAGAAAAAGGGAAAAAAAAAUAACUGUUGUGGGUAAGAAAAAAAAAAAACUGUGCGUGGUUUAGGAAAAAAUAACUUUGUGCGGCUUAAGAAAAAAAAUAACCGUUGUGCGCAUUUAGAAAAAAAAUAUAACUGUCGUGACGGUUAAGGAAAAAAAACUACUGUGCAGUUAUUUUUUGGGUACGUGUAGUUAUGCUCUCUUAUAAUUACUUAAUGAUAAUGAUAAUAUAUAAAAUAUAUACAAUGAUAUAUAAUAUAUAUAUACUAUAUAUAUAUAUAUAUAUAUAGAGUGAGGCUACUAUGCUAUCGGAAGCCACGGAGCCUUCGUGCUUCCAGCUUGUUUUCGAUGUUGCGACUUUCGAAUCGUCGAUCGGCUCCUUAAACUUAUCUUAGAUAUUUGAAGAACUAGAAAAUUAAUUAUUAUUUUUCGAUAUCAUUUGCCUAGUGAUCGAAUAGGCUCAAAAUCAACAAAUUUCAAUGGCCGUAGUAGUGAGCGUUUGCAAGUUUAACGGUGUAGAAAUACCCAAAUCACGUGAAAUUUUGAUAAAAAUUCUUUAUACUAUAUAAAACAAGAUCAAUAUCUUGAUUUAAAUUUUAUGCAUAUUAUUACAUUUUGUAAGAUUUUUAUUUUCAGCCGUUGAUUUUGAGCCCCUUCGUUCACUAGGCAAAUGAUAUCGUAAAAUCAUAAAAUUUAUUUUCUAGGUACUUCAAAUACUCUAGAUCAAGUUUAACGAAGCCGAUCGACGAUUCGAAAGUCGCAACAUCGAAAACAAGCUGGAAGCACGGAAGGCUCCGUACUUCCGAUAGCAUAGUAGCCUCACUAUAUAUAUAUAUAUAUAUUUGUGAACUAAAAAAUAUAUUAUGAUAAGUUAAAAAAAUAUAUAUUAUGAUAAAUACGCCAUGUGGCAUCUUAUGGUUCAAUUGGAACCAUGCUUCCAAAAUUAUAUAUAUAUAUAUAUGAUGCUACUUUUUUAGUAAGAAACUAAGAAUGCAUAUUUUUGGUAUGAACCCAAAUUACUAUAAAAAUCUAUACGAAAGCUGUUGAAAAUUUUUGGUUGAAAGCAGCAGAGCAUGCAUAUAUUCAGAUAUUUUUGGCACAAAAAUAACAAAAUAUAUAAAAAUAGCCAAAAAAAAAUUAAAAUAACUUGAUAAAAACUAUCAAUGAGUCUACUAGGAAGAUUCAUUUUCUAUUUUUGCUAUUAUUUAGUCGGUGUCUUUUAACAAAGUUAUUAGAUUUUGUCUAAAAUAAUAGAUUUGUUAAUAAAAAAUAUAGAGAUUGGUGAAGAACAAAAAAAUGUAGCGAUAUUUAUGGGCGAAGAAAUUGCACACGGUAGAAAAACAAAAAUAAAUGUAAAAUAUAGUGUAGAGAUUGAUAGAAUAUAAUAAGAGUAUGAGUUGUAUACUUUCGAGGGUAUAGAGGCAGCUGUGAUUUAAAGUUGUUUUUUAUUAUAAGAUAUCUAAUACGACAAUCGGUUCAGUUAGUCAUAAUAUACACAAUUGAAUCAAUCUAAAAAGAAAUUGGAAAAACUUCAAAUAUAUACCACCCUUUUGGUUUCACACUUUCUCACUUUAGUACCUUGUGGUUUAAAAUGUAUUAAUUUAGUACCCUGUGGUUUCAUUUUUAUAAUUUUAUUAUCGAUUUCACUAAUUUUUUCGUUAAAUCAGUGACAAAGUUAAAACUAAAAGGUACUAAAGUGAGUAUUUAAUAAAACUUAAAUGGGGCAUCUGAAGUUUUCUGUACAUACUUUAACGAAAUAUUAACGAAAAAGCUGACGAAAAGAUAUAAAUGAAACCACAGGACACUAACUAGCUUGAUACACUUUAAACCGCAUGAUACUAAAGUGAGAAAGUGCGAAACCACGGGGGUAGUAUUUGAAGUUUAUCCAAAAAAAUUUAUAAACUUUCAACAUCAUUUCCAAAGUGAUCAGUAGGUCUCAAAGAUGAUUUUAAUGGCUGGUGUGGCACAUUUAUGCGUGCGUGUAGAACAAUCCAGAUUAGAUAAUAUUUUAAUAAAAAAUUCUAUUUUUCAUUAAAAGCAAGAUCAAUAGUUCCAAUUCAAACUUAAUAAGUCUUCUAUUAUUAUUUUUUGUGAGAUUUUUAUUUUCUACCGUUCGUUUCUAGACUGCUUAUUUGUAAGACAAAUAAAGUCAAAAACUGAUAAAAUUUGUUUUCCGAUAGUUAUAAUAUGUAAAUGAUUUUUAACAGAAUUAAUCGCUAAAUCAAAUAUCUCAUUAUAAAAAACAACUUGAAAUAAUGGGAGGCCUUUGUACUUUCAAAAAUAUAUACUAGCCUAGUUCAAUAUAAUAAUACUCUUUGAAAAAAAUUAUUAUAAUAUAAUAAAUAAAAAUAAUACUAAAAUAUAAUACAGUAGAGUGUAAUUAAGCCUGACCUUUAUUACAUGCAAAAGAAUCUGCUUUAUUAAGUGGUGAUCUUUGUCACUUCUUUUCUGCAUGCUCAUAAAGCAAUCCCACUACUAUUUUUUAUUCUUUUUUCUCUGUUUUUUGUUUGGAUAUGAAGGUUUCCAACUGAUUGAUCAAUUGCUUGACUAGUGCUAUGGAAUGAAAUAAGAUAAAAUGAAAAAAAAAAAUAUUGAGAAAAAUUAUUUAGAAUCUCUCAUUGUGCUUUUCCCUACUUCUAGUUUUUUAAAGUGUUUAGCUUUUGUUCUUAACUUAUAAAGAAAGUAAUUAAUUGGAAAAACUUCAAAUACCCCUCGUGGUUUCGCACUUUCUCACUUUAAUAUCUUAUAGUUUAAAGUGUAUCAAGUUAGUACCCUACAGUUUUCCACUUUCUCACUUUAGUAUCUUGUGGUUUAAAAUGUAUUAAGUUAAUUAGUACCCUGUGGUUUCGCACUUUCUCACUUUAGUACCAUGUGGUUUAAUAUUUCAUUAAAUUAUAUACAAAAAAAACUUCAGAUAUCCUACCUAGGUUUAUCGAAUAUUCAUUAUAGUACUCUUUAGUUUUAACUUUGUCACUGAUUUAACGAAAAAAAUACUCCGAAAUGAAUAUUAAAAAGAGAAAUAUAAAAUCACAGAGUACUAACUCGAUACAAAAAUAAAAUCACAGAGUACUAACUUGAUACAUUUUACACCAUAUGGUACUAAAAUGAAAAAGUGCGAAACCACAGGGUACCAACUUAAUACAUUUUAAACCACAGGGUACGUACUAAAGUGAUAAAUUGCGAAAUCACCCGGGGNNNNNNNNNNNNNNNNNNNNNGGGGCGGGCGCGGUUUGUAUUUGAAGUUUUCCCUAAUUAAUUUUCAGGACAGGUUCGGAUCCGGAUACUUUAGUUGCUAAUAUACUAAUCUGAUCCAUGUGAGCAUAGUAGGAUAGUGACUAUGAGACUAUCAGUAUAUUACCCUCUUAAGAUCGGGUAUGGGUCGGGUAUGGGUCAGGCUUAGGUCAGGGACGAGUAUUCGUAUGCAUAUCCAUAGUAUAAAACAUAAAUAGUUGUUACACGAUAAGUUCAAAACAAAAGUACAAAAUCUAUAAUAAUUAUAUUUAUAUUAAUUACUCUAAAACAAGUAUAACCACCACCCAAAACACAUUCAAUAACAUAAGAGUUAAAACUUAUAUUGAUAACUCCAAACACACAUAAUAUAAUUAUAUAAAGCACAUACAACUAACCAUAUAGCAUACAUCAUAAGUCCAAAACGCAUGCACCUACUAUAAUAUAAUUAAAAUACAUACAUAAUAAAUUUGAAAUAUUAUGAUAAUUAAAAAUAACAAUAUCAUUUUUCAAUUUUCAUAAAUUUUCUUAUUUUUUACUCCUUGCUUUAACUUUUGACAUUGGAUAUUUUACUGAGUUAAUUAGAUUCGUGCCCACGACCGAAUUUGAAAAUUAUUCAGAACUCUACCCACCAAAAAAUCAGGUCCGGAUAGGGCUUGAGUCGGAUUUGGAUACAAAAAUCUGGACCCAUAUCUGAAAUAUUAAUGGGUCAUCCUUAAUUUCUACUCAUAUACUACCUAUUUUUAAUCGGAUCUAGGUCGGGUGGGAUAUAGGAAAUCGAUUAUUUUGAACAUCUCUAUAUUGUUGAGAGAAAAGAAGAAGUUUUAAUGAUAUUCAUAAGAAAAAAAAAAUAGUACAACAUAGAAAAACAAAAAUAAAUAUAAAAAUAUAAUAUAAAAAUCGAUAAAAUAUAAUAAUAUUUUUUUAAAAAAAUUAUUACAACAUAACAAAUGAAAAUAGUCUUACUCGUGUUACAUGAAAAAAAUAGUGCAAAAUAGAAAAACAAAAAUAAAUAUAAAAUUAUAAUAUAGAAAUUAAUAAAAUAUAAUAAUAUUUUUUUUCAUUUGAAAAAAAAUAUUACAACAUAACAAGUGAAAAUAACAUCAAAAUAUAGUAUCAUACAAUGUAAUUAAGUCUUACUCGUGUUACACGUACGCAAAAUUAAGAAUCUCCUUUUUUAAUUAAGUGGUGAUCUUUGUCGCUUCUUCUUUUGGAACCGUCUAAAUCAAUCCCACUACUUUCCUUUUUUUUUAAUUCUUUUUUCUCUGUUUUUUGUUUGGAUAUUAAGGUUUUUUCAUUCUUUUUUCUCUGUUUUUUGUUUGUAUGAUUGAAAAAAUAUUUCAGAAAAUAAAUUUUGAGCUGAAAAAAUAAUUUUCGUCUUGUUUAGUUUCUAAAAAAGUAAUAAUAAUUUUCAAAAAAAUUUCAAAAUUUAUCUGAAAAUUGUAUUCUCGUUUUUCAAAUUAUUUAUUUGUUAUUAUAGUUUCUCACCUUUCUUUUCUUGUGGAAUCAAAAUAAAGCGGCCAUAAUCUACUGCAUGCUUUGCCGUGCAGAAGUCUCAAGAUUCUGUUAGAUCAGGUUCCUCCAUGUUGGCUGACAGCUUUCGAGAACUUAUUCCUCGUCUCAAUCUUUCUUCGUUGCGAAGCUGAACGUCUCUUGCCUCAUUCUCCAAUUUCUGCACUAGCUCCAGGAGUUUGAUCAAUUGCCUGAGUGGUGGUGAAGCCGAUCAUGGCUCUAACUUUCAUAGCCGGAGCGGUGGCGACGGCGAUCAUCCAGAAGCUCGUUGAUACAUGCUUUUCCUACAUCAAAGCUUACCCGGGGCUGCGAGGCAUGCGGGACGAGUUGGAAAGGCUGCAACUGGCCCUUCCGCAGAUCCAGACAGUCUUGACUGCCGUAGAGGAGGCUGCGUCGAUUGCAGAGCAGAACACGGCGCUGGAUACGUGGCUGUCGCAGCUCAGAGAUGCUGUGGAGAACGCGGAGGACGUGCUCGACGAGCUGGACUACUACGAGCUGAAGAAGACUAUAAAAGAUCGAGAUGACGAGGUGCGUGGCAUUCUCUCUAAAUGUAAGAAAAAGUUUGACCGUGUUGUUAAUCGUAAAUUUAGCUAUGACACACCGAAGCGGUUGAGGGAGGCCGUCAAGGGGUUAGAUAUGGUUGUUGCCGGUAUGGGACCACUAGUUCAACUUGUUGCUGGGUUAUAUGGUCCUAGUGUUAAGCAUCAGAAGCUCGAGGAAAACAAGAAUGCUCGCGAGACUAGCUUCUUGCUAACCGAAAGUGAGGUGCUCGGACGAGACGAGGAGAGGGACCAAAUAGUUGAAUGGCUGAUCAAACCAGGAGAUGCCGAUGUCAAUGUCUCCACUUUUACAAUUGUUGGUAUGGGCGGGCUCGGGAAGACCACUCUUGCUCAACUAAUCUGUCAUGAUGAAAGAGUGCGAGAGUACUUCAAACCGAUUAUGUGGGUUUGUGUUUCUCAGGAUUUCGAUGUAACUGCGAUAACAAGAAAGAUUUUACAAUGUGUAGAUAGUGAAAAGAAUUUUGGCGACAAGAGUCUACAAGCACUCCAUGUGGAUCUUACACAAGAACUAAAGUCGAAGAGGUUUUUCCUCAUACUGGAUGAUGUUUGGACCGAUGAUAACAUGACGGAGUGGGAGACAUUAGUUGCUCCUUUGAAAUUUGGACAGAGAGGAAGCAAGAUCCUGUUGACAACUCGAAUGGGUUCAAUUGCGGAUAUGGCGGCAAAAGUGACGAAAUGCAAACGGGAAUCAUUAAAUCUAAAUGAGUUGAAGGAGAGUGACUGUAUAUCGCUUUUCAAUAAGCAUGCAUUCCUCGAUGUGAACCUUGGUGAUUAUAGAAACCUGCAGCUGAUCGGUGAGCAGAUAGUGAAGAAACUUGGAGGAAGCCCAUUGGCAAUAAAGAUCAUGGGAGGAAUACUAAACUACUCCAUGAACUAUGAAUAUUGGAAGAACAUCUUGGAAGAAGACAUCAUGAAAUUACAACAAGGAAAGAACGGCAUCAAGACAGUUUUAAGAUUAAGCUACGAUCACUUACCCACAAACUUACAACUCUGCUUUAGAUAUUGCAGUUUAUUUCCACAGGAUUAUACGUUUAAGAGGAAAAAGUUGGUCAAUAUGUGGAUUGGUUCAGGUCUGAUUCCGCAAUCUAUUUGUGGCAAGCAAAGGCCAGAGGAUAUCGGAAAUGAGUAUUUAAAUCUUCUGACAAGAAAAUCAUUCUUUACUUGCAAAACUAGAGAAAAUAUGUUGGGAAGUACUAAAAAAAUUACUAAAGAGUAUUUUAUGCACGAUCUGCUGCAUGACCUAGCACAAUCUGUUUCUCUAGGGGAAUGCAAGAGAAUAGGAGGUGAUGUUGCAGGAAUUACUAUUCCACGGACAGUUCGACAUUUAUCUGUUGAGAUGAUAAAUCUUCUUUCCAUCAGAGAGAUCUCCAAUCUUAAAAAAGUGCGCACUCUUGUCAUUUCUGCUAAAGAGGAUAAUGAGCAUAAUGCAGAUCAUGCACUUGAAUUUCUCGAGGUUAUAAAAGGGUUUAAAAAGUUGCGCUUAUUGAUCUUAGAUGUGAAUUUUGACCCUUAUAAACUGCCCGAUGCACUUAGUAGCUUGAUACACCUCCGCUACCUAUCUCUUUCACUAGGGAAAGUUGUGAAUGAAAGUAUUGAAUAUGAUGACUUGACCAACUUGGUCAAGUUGCGUUCAUUAGAUGUUCCCUAUUAUGUGAUAGAAAAUAUUCCUUAUAUUAGCAAACUACCUUUCAUCCACAAAUUACAACAUUUUAUUGUUCGAGAGGAGAGUGGUUAUAAAAUUGGUGAACUAAAGAACCUCAGGGACCUUCGUCAUCUGUGCAUUGGAGGACUUGAAAAUGUGAGGAGUUCUGAAGAAGCCAUUGAGGCCAAUUUAAACGAGAAAAAAUAUCUCAAAUCAUUGUCAUUGCAAUGGUCCGCAGACCACUUCAAUAGUGCAGAGGCAGAUGAGCAGCUCCUCGAUAACCUCUGCCCUCAUAUCAAUCUCAAGAAAAUGAUCAUCCAACAAUACCAAGGUGCUAAAUCUCCAAGUUGGAUGACAAAUCUGUCUCUUAUCAAUUUGACAUUCAUCGCACUAAUGAAUUGUAAAGGAUGGGAGCACCUUCCACCUCUUGGGCAGUUUACUUCGCUCCAACAUCUUCUCUUGCAGGGACUAGAUACAAUAAAGCAAAUAGAUUGUUCAUUCAUCAGAAGCAACAGUGCAUGUGCCUUUCCAUCAUUGAAGAUGUUACAUUUAUGGGACAUGCCUAACUUAGAGGAGUGGAUUGGAGCAGAUGAUGGGUGCAUGUUUUCUCAACUUCAUUCUAUGGUGAUCGCUAACUGCCCUAAUUUGAGGAAAAUUCCUACUCUACCUUAUAGUCUAAGACAAUUGACAAUUUCAGAUGUCGGAUUGACUGCUCUUCCAACAAUAAAUCAGGAUUACGCUGACAACAAUGUAAGUGCUUUAUUUUAUAAACUUCAAAUUUCUCCUGAGCUUUAGCUCAUUUUUAUUUACCCCACUGUAGUUCAACAUGUAUCACUUUGCCCCUUCUCCCCCGUGGUUUAGCCUAUUUUUACUUUUUUCUAUCUCGUGGUUUAAAAAGUUACACUUUGCCUCCUUUGGUUUAGCUCAUUUUUUACUUUGCUUUCCUGUGGUGUUUUUAAAUAUUUUUAAUUUGCCACGCUAUUUUAUAUAGAAUUUUUUUGAUGAAAUAAAAAUUAAGCCACUGGAGGGGCAAAGUAAAAUUUUUUGAACCGCAAGGUGGCAAGGUAAAAAUGAGUUAAAUAACGCGGGGGCAAUUUGAACUUUACUCUUAUAUUAAUUAAAACACCAAUUCGUAUUUGCACGGCUAUGAUUGCCCGGACUUAAACAUCUUUUACAUCUUUUCUUUCUUGCAGCAGCAAGAACAUUCUCAGGGUCUUCAAACCUUAAUCAUCGAACGAUGUGAGAAGCUCAAAUAUGUUCCAACAGAGUUCUUUCAGAAAUUCGACACCCUCAAAGAGCUGCGUAUACAAAAGUGCCCGAAGUUGACAAACCGUGGGAUCUCGGACAUCCAAAUGCCCUCUAUGCUCGAUAAACUCAUUAUUGGGUCAUGUGGCGACCUUGAGGUGCCAUUGCUCCAGUCAUUAUCAAAUUUAACCUCUCUUUCCGGGUUGGAAUUAGUCGAUUGCACAAGCAUAACAUCCCUUCCCCCUGCACAAGUGUGUGGACGGUGGACGGCGCUUUCCCAUUUAAUAAUAAAGAACUGCAAAGAGCUGUCAUCAUUCGGUGGAAUACAAGCUGUACCCCUCCGUUAUUUACAAAUUGAAGGGUGCGACAGGCUAAUUGAAGUUGCCCUGCUGCUGCAGCCUCUGUUCCCAAACGAUGUCUGCCAAAACAAGAAUGCAGUAAUGGACUGCUUUUUGAAGAAUGGUAGUCUAUCAAUUGACCACCUCGCCCUCCUGCUCGUGGAGCCAUUGAGAAGUCUCUCCUCCAUCAACAAUUUGACUAUCUCUGAUGCUUCACAACUCACCAGCUUACCUGAGGAAUGGCUACUGCAAAAUCACGCUGCCCUCGACGCUAUAUACAUAUGGAAUGCAAUCUCCCUUCAGUCCCUACCCCAGAGCGUGACAAAACUGUGCUCCCUCCAGCGUUUAUAUGUACAGAAGGCUAAUCUCAUCCAGUCUCUUCCAGAUCUGCCUACUUCACUGCGUACUCUUUGGAUCACCGGGUGUCACCCUGUGUUGAAGGAGCGAUGCCAAGAGAAUAUAGGCCUUGAUUGGCCCAAGAUUGCCCACAUCCCUGGUGUGACGAUUGAACAGGCAGUUGCAGAGUGACGAUGACGAAAUUGUACGUUUACUUUACCAUCCUUCAUCUCGCCCCUGCUAUAUACUCUCUGCGAUUAAUGCAAUUCAUUUCGGUGUUGUUCGAUCUUAACAAGUUUUAUCUCAUUUGUUACAGGACUACUUAGCCUUUCUUGGACAACGCAAGAGCAGCCAGGUUCGUUUUUUAUUAGCAUCCUCAAUAGAAUUUUUUUUAUAUUUUGUACCCUUAAUUACUUUAUGGUUUGGAUACAUAAUAAGGGAACAUAGCGCUAAUUGCCCCUUAUAAUUAAUACAUGGUGCUCGACGGUCGAAUUGGUCGACUUGUAAGACAAACAAUGUAAUGAAUAUAGUAGCAUGUCAAUUGCAUUGUAAAGUAAAUAGGACUAGUUCUCCGGUGAUGAGUUAGAACUUAAGAGACGACGCGCGACAAAAGCUUUCGAGUAAUUGUAUAAGACUCCUAUGUAUGUAUAUAUUUCUCUCAAUUCUUUCCGGAAUAUAACAAGAGUAAAGUUUUUCCACGCGCUUAUAUUCUAUUUUGGCAGUGCAGGAACAUAUAAAGUAUUUAGGCUUAAUUAGGACUCCCUGUGCCUUACUCUUACUGCAUGCAUUGCAUGUUUUUUUCUUUUUUUCUAUUGCCAAAUUAAUGUAAAAUCUUUACGGAUGAAAUUGUCCUAAAAAUAAUUAAUUUACUGUUUGAUUCCUGCACAAGUAGCAAAUCUCAUAGCCUGGUGAUCGAGCUUGUUUGGUUUCGUCUACUAUCUUAUGAUCGAAGUUGUUGAUCCUAGUUUAAACAUUGCUUUACAAUGUGUUUCAAACCCUUUUUUUUUUUUUUUCUUUUUCUUUCAGCAGCAUAAUUAGGACCCUGAUUAAUUAAGCAUGAGAGCGUAAUUUCAGUGGUAUAAAUUAUAUUCAAAUUUUGUUAAAGUUUAUAUGUCUUUUUAAUGCAGGUUGUAUCAAUUUGGGAGUAAAUUUAAUAGGUGCUCCGUCAAUAAGACUCGGCUGACUCGUUGUAAAAGAAAAAUGAGAGCAAAACUGUAACAGCACGCAUGAACGUUUGCAACCACAUCCUGCAGUUUCAUACUUUUACUAUCUUUGCACUUUCUAAACAAACUUAAGAUUCAUUAAAGACUGAAGUGUUACUUCUAAUGUUCUAUGUUUGGUGGUGUAAGAACGAAUUAAAUACUCCAUCGAUUUCUAUUUUCUAUUUUCUAUUUUCUAUUUUCUUUAUAUUCUAGGUGUUGUAUGAAUUAAAAAGACUCCUAUUAUUAUAGUCUAUCGAUUUCGUCCUUGUUACGAAGGAUGGUUACAGUUUUUUCUGCUUUGUGUACAUUCUCUCCUAUAUUUCUUGAUGCAGUUGGAAUAAGACUAUUACAUGUACGUAGUCUACAUAUAUAAUGUGAUUAGUGUCUUUAAUGUAGCUUAAUUUUACUGAUUAUUUUGUUUCACUGCUUAAUUAAUCUUCCCUAGGAGACCAAUUAGCGAGCGAAAGAAUGUGGGACUAAUUCGAUUUCUUUGUAAGGAAGGAUAAUAUAUUAAAUUACAUAUUUUGAAGAUUGAGAUUUGGAGAUGUAUGUUUAAUUAGCGAAGCGCGCGAAGGUUAAAGAGUAAUAAUCUGUGUGUUCUAUGAUGGCAAGAUAGCAAUUUGUUUCUCUUCACUUUAUCUGCACAACAAGCAAAUCUCUGGAUCUGAUGAAGUUGUUGAGCUUCUUUGAAGUAGACAAAGUAUCCCAGGUCUAAAGUUGUUUAUACUUCAAAUUUUGUUAAACUUUUCUCAAGUUUUUAAUGCGGCCUCUAUCGAAUUUUGGAGUAAAUUUGGUCGGCGCGGCUGACUCAUUGUAAAAGGAAAAAAAGGGCUGCUGCACUUCGGCACGCAUCAACUUACAAAUCACAUCCUACAGCUGCUUUACUUUUAAUUUCUUUACAAUUUUCAAAAAGAAAUUAAAUUUCUUUAUGUGUUGAAGACAAAUUACAGUUUCCAGUCUGUGUAAGUUUGGUUUUUGAUUCAGAUUUUGCGGACAAAUUCAUUUCAGUCUUUCUUUUUCGUGUACACUCCUUUUUAUACAGUUCCUUAUCUUUCAUCAAUAAUUAUUAGAGAGGCUUAUCUUCUUUUUUUUUUCCUUUUUUUUUGGGUGAGUUAUUCUAGUUGGUUGAAAUUUAAUUACCCAAUAGGUUACUAGAUUCUUCUACCCAAAGAAGUUACAAAUUAAGCACUUAAUUAUUCUCAACACAUGUCUUACACCUAAUUUUGUAAAGCUUUAGAACACAAAGAAAAUUAUCUCUUCUAACUUAGUGCAUGAGAAACACAAUAAAGCUUAUAAAUAUGCAGAUAUAAGAAGGUAAUAAAUCAUUCACUUGUCUGCUACUCAAAAGGCACCGAAUGAUUCGCCUUCUUGUGGCAACCAACAAAUCUAUACAUUUUAAACUUUUAUUAAUCAAGGUUAUUUAAAUGUUAAAAAGCAAAGCCCUAAUAAUUAAAUAAACAAUCACACAAGUGAAAGGGUAUAGCUGUUGACUCUCGAGCCCGUUGACUCAGAUGAGUUGGCAACGUGGUGCCGUCUCUGGAUGCAAUCAAGCAAGGGGAAAAAAUAAUCAAUUUUAUUUGAUUUUUUUUUUUUAGGAAAAUGUAGCAUGUUGUUUACAAAAUCACAUCUUUUUUAACAUUCCAAAUAAUCGAUCACCAGGCUAUCAGUUCGGUCAGCCCAGAACGAGUAUGCUGAGCUCUAUAUCUUGACGUCCAAUUAUCCCAAAUGACAAUCACAUCAUCACCCAAACCUAUAGAUUAGAUCCCCUCUAAGACUGUCAUCAUUAGAAAUUUACUAAAUACGCAUUCCCCCCCACUGGUUUGGUCCAAUUUUGCCUUACUACUCUGUGGUUCAAAAAAUAUCAUUUUGCCUCUCUAUGAUUUCGUUCAUUUUUACUUCGCUACCCUAUAGUUUAAAAAAUUAAACUUUACUUUUUUGUGGUUCAGCACGUUUUCUACUUUACCAUAUUGUGGCUUUUUAAAAAUUUUUUACUUUGCUAUCUUACUUCAUAUAGAAUUUUUGGGCACAGUAGAAAUUAAACCACAAGGGGUUAAAAUUGAAAGUUUUUAAACCAUAGGAUGUCACAGUGAAAAUAUAUAUGCUACACGGCAUAGGAAAAAAAUUGAAGUUUACCCUGUUUUUAAAGAUGGAACCUUAAUGGCAUGCAUCACUAUUCUGUAUUAAUUUUUUUUCGGAUCUAAAAUAAACUAACUAAAUACCUUUAGUAUACCGUAUAUGUAUGUAUCUUUACUAUAUAUAGGAGUUUAUGAUUUAGAGUCUUGGGUAAAGACCGUGAACGAUUUAUCAUCAUCUAGACGCGCGCGGUGUAUGAAAAUUUUGAAUUAACUUGUUUUCAAUGAGAUCAAAUUUUAAAAAUUAUAAAAAAAAAAUAAAAGGAGUUGAUUUUCUAAGAUACCUAUCAUUGGUUUUAGACUUGCGUAAGGAUGCAAGAUAUAUAUAUAUAUAUAUAUAUAUAUAUAUAUAUAUAUAUAUAUAUAUAUAUAUAUAUAUAUAUAUACACACACACACACUGUAUACGCGCAAAUACAUUUGUUUUUUCUCAUUAAGCAGCGGAUUAUUAAUUGGACAUUUUUUUUUCUCAUUAAGCAGUGGAAUAUUAAUUGGAGUGCGGAAGAAACUAAACGAUGCUCGGCCGCCGGCAAUUAAUUAAUCUCGAUGCAAGUCUUCCAAACUAUUUUUUUUUUUUCUCUUUUCAGCAACUUGGCAUAAAAUAAAUAAGCAUUCUUAAUUUGCUAUAUACCCAAGUAAUUAAUUGUUUGAGCCUCUCUCUAUCCUCAUUCUCUAUCGAUCAAUUGCCUGAGUAGUGUCGAAAUAGUAGAUCAAGUUAGAACCGUUCGGAGGAUUAAUAUGGCUUUAACUUUCAUAGCCGGAUCGUUGGCGUCGGCGAUCAUCGGGAAGCUCGUUGAUACAUGCUUUUCCUACAUCAAAUCUUACCCUGGGCUGCGAGGCGUGCGGGACGAGCUGAAAAGGCUGGAUCAGGCCCUUCCGCAGAUCCAGACAGUCUUGACUGCCGUAGAGGAGGCGGCGUCGAUUGCAGAGCAGAACGAAGCGCUGGAUACGUGGCUGUGGCAGCUCAGAGAUGCUGUGGAGAACGCGGAGGACGUGCUCGACGAGCUGGACUACUACGAGCUGAAGAAGACUAUAAAAGAUCAAGAUGACGAGGUGCGUGGCAUUCUCUCUAAAUACAAGAAAAAGUUUGACCUUUUUGUUAAUCGUAAAUUUAGCAACGACACACCGAACCGGUUGGGGGAGGCCGUCAAGGAGUUAGAUAGGGUUGUUGCUGGUAUGGAGCCACUAGUUCAACUUGUUACUGGGUUAUAUGGCCCUAGUGUUAAGCGUCAAAAGCUCGAGGAAAUCAAGAAUGCUCGCGAGACUAGCUCCUUGCUAACCGAAAGUGAGGUGCUCGGACGAGACGAGGAGAGGGACCUGAUAGUAGAAUGGCUUAUCAAACCGGGAGAUGCCGAUGUUGAUGUCUCCGCUUUUACAAUUGUUGGCAUGGGUGGGCUCGGGAAGACUACUCUUGCUCAACUAGUCAAUUGCGACGAAAGGGUGCGAGAGUACUUCGACCCGAUUAUGUGGGUCUGCGUUUCUCAGGAUUUCGAUGCAGCUGCGAUAACAAGAAAGAUGUUAGAAGGUGCAAGUAGUGGGAGUUUGGGUGAUAAGUCUCUAAAUGCACUCCAUGAAAUUGUUAAACAGAAACUUACAUCGAAGAGGUUUUUGCUCAUACUGGAUGAUGUUUGGAACGAUGAUAAAAUGAUGGAGUGGGAGAAAUUGGGUGCUCCUUUGAAAUUCGGACUGAGAGGAAGCAAGAUCCUGUUGACAACUCGAAUGGGUUCAGUUGCGGAUAUGGCAGCAAAAGUAAUGAAAUGCAAACUAGAAUCAUUAAAUCUAAAUGAGUUGGAGGAGAGCGAUUAUAUGUCGCUUUUCAAUAAGAAUGCAUUCCUCAAUGUGAAUCCUGAUGAUUAUAAAAACUUGCAACCGAUUGGUCAACAUAUAGCGAAGAAACUUGGAGGAUGCCCAUUGGCAAUAAAAGUCAUGGGAGGAAUGCUGAACUCCUGCAUGGACUAUGAAUAUUGGAAGAAAAUCUUGGAAGAAAACAUCAUGAAAUUACAACAAGGAAAGGAUGGCAUCAUGACAAUUUUGAGAUUAAGCUACAAUCACUUACCCACAAACUUACAACUCUGCUUUAGAUAUUGUAGUUUAUUUCCACAGGAUCAUAUGUUUAAGAGGAAAAAGUUGAUCAAUAUGUGGAUUGGUUCAGGUCUGAUUCCGCAAUCUAUUUGCGACAGGCAAAGGCUAGAGGAUAUCGAAAAUGAGUAUUUAAAUCUUCUGACAAGAAAAUCAUACUUUACUUGCGAAACCAAUGAUAAUCUAGUGAAAAUUACUAAAGAGUAUUUUAUGCACGAUCUGCUGCAUGACCUAGCACAAUCUGUUUCUCUAGGGGAAUGCAAAAGAAUAGGAGGUGAUGUUGCAGGAAAUAUUAUUCCAAAAACAAUUCGACACAUACAUGUUGAGAUGAUAAAUCUUCUUUCCAUCAGAGAGAUCUCCAAUCUUAAGAACGUGCGCACUCUUGUCAUUUCUGUUAGAGAGGAUAAUGAGCAUAAUGCAGAUCAUGCACUUGAAUUUCUCGAGGUUAUAAAAGGGUUUAAAAAGUUACGCUUAUUGAUCUUAGAUGUGAAUUUUGACCCUUAUAAACUGCCCGAUGCACUUAGUAGCUUGAUACACCUCCGCUACCUAUCUCUUUCACUAGGGAAAGUUGUGAAUGAAAGUAUUGAAUAUGAUGGCUUGACCAACUUGGUAAAUUUGCGUUCAUUAGAUGUUCCCCAUCAAGUGAUAGAAAAUAUUCCUUAUAUUAGCUAACUACCCUUCAUCCACAAAUUACAAAAUUUUAUUAUCCGAGAGGAGAGCGGUUACAAAAUUGGUGAACUAAAGAACCUCAGGGACCUUCGUCGCCUGUGUAUUAGGAAACUUGAAAAUGUGAUGAGUUCUGAAGAAGCUAUGGAGGCCAAGCUGAAUGAGAAAGAAAAUCUCAAAUCACUGUCAUUGGAAUGGUCUGAAGACCGCUCCAAUAGUGCAGAAACGGAUGAGCAGCUCCUCGAUAACCUCUGCCCUCAUAUCAAUCUCAAGAAAAUGUGC